rnacentral:lncRNA from 1 species
UGUAAACGGACCAAUUUGCCCGGGUCCACAUCAAGACCAAAUAAAGAAUAAAUAAAAAUAAGAAUAAAAAAACAACAAUUAAUUAAAUGUCCAUUUACAGUUCAAAGCCCAAAAUUAUUACAGUGACCCAAUACCCAAAUUACUACCCAAAUCCAAACGGCCCAAAGGCAAUGGCCCAAUACCCAAAAUGAGCCCAAACGACCCAAAACUUUGGUCAUCAGAAACCCUAGGGCUCUCUCCCUCGUGCCGCAGCCAAGCCUCAGCCCUCGCACCGUACGACGCGCCAGCUACCUCCGUACGCCUCAGCAGCACCACGCCCACGCCUCCGUACGCCAGCACAGCCCCGUACACGCGCUACGCACCCUGUACCUGCAAAAAAGGACGAACGCGCAGCAAAACAAACAAAAAAAAAACAACAAAGAAUAUUGUAUUCUGAUUUAUUUUUCUAUCAUUUUACCCCUUCGGCUGUAAAGCCAAGGGAUUUCAUCAGUUGUAAGGUUACGCACACCAAGAGAAAGCAAUACAGACGCAAUACACAUAGAUUGAAAAAAAAAAGUAAUUUCUUAAGAAGGUGAUCUCCAUUUUCGGCUCUAUUUUUUAUUUCCUCCGAUUUUUCAUCAUUUACAUUCAAAAAAAAAAGAAAGAAAAAUGGCACUUACUUUGAGUUUAGGCCGUCGAUUCCCUUUCACUUCGUCGAAAUCGAAGUUCAGAGGGAAGUCGGUGACUGAAAGGAGCCAUGCUUCGAAGCCUGUGAGCGCCGGUCACCGUACCUUGCGGUGGGCUGGUGUCUUUGAAGAGAAAAUAUAGGUUGCGGCUAAAAAAAGGAAAUGAGGCUAGGGUUUGGCCGAAUAGGCUAAAAUAAGCGUUUAUAUAGGGCUUCAAACGACACCGUUUUAAGCCUUGCCCAAGGGCUCUCCAAACGGUGUCGUAUUGUUACACCUGACCCGAUCCGUUUUUCCACCCUAAGACCAACGCGUUCUUGCGAAGAGGGGAUAAUUUCGCAAUCGGUCCCUCCUUUUUGUAUGGGCAUUCAAUGGUGCCUUAUUUAUUUCAUCUCCUUUUUUUAAUUUGGCUUUACAAUUUGCGUGUGCUUGCAAGUUAGUCCGCGUUUUAACGUUGCGCUUUAGGGCUGGUCUAUUUCCAGUUUAGGUCCUUCUGAACCCUUUUUAUUAUUAUUGUGUUUUCAAAUUAUCCCUUUGUUUUAGUUUGAUUCUAACUAAAUCCUUUUAGUUUAUAGCUUUUUUUCUCGAUUACUUAUUUGCACAUUUUAAACUACCCUGGUAAUUGCUUCUUUAUUAUUGUAAAUUUGUUUUUUAUAAUACCAUCGUCACAUUUUGUGUAUUUUAUACAAAUGUUUUUCACAUUAUCAUAUAUAUGUAUAUAUAUAUACUUUAUAAUAAGUAAACUUUAUUCUAUACACAUGAUUAGAUCCACGAUUUUAUACCUAUAGUCUUCUUUGUACAAUGAAUUUAGGUUUAUUCUAUUUCAACAUUUAUAUGAUAUUUCUUUAAAUAUUUUAGAUAUAUUUGUACAUAUACAUUUUUAAUUAAAGUUUGUAAUCUAUAAUGUUGAUUAUUUUAAAGUACUUAAUAUUUUAUACAUAUGUUGAGCUAUCUUAAUAACUUUUUUAUAUAUAUAUUUUUUAAUCACCAUUUUGUAGUUCAUUUUUUAUACUAUAUUAUUUAAAAUAUUUAUAUAACACUUGUUCAAAUGUUUCAUGUAUACUUAUUUAUGUAUAAUAAAUAAUUUAAUCCUAUAUACAUAUUUAGUCACAUGCUAAAUUAUUUCAUUCUCUUAAAUUUUUCUAUAUAUGUAUAUAUAUAUUUUUACGUAUAUAAGUUAUUUUUUUAAGAACACAUUUUACUAUAUAUUGUAUUGAUUUAAAAUUUCACAUUUAAAUACUAUUUUUAUAUGCAUGUAUGAUUAUCAACUUUAAAUGGAUGUAUCAUCUUUAUAAUGUUUAUGCAUGUUAUUUGAUUCAAAUGUCUUAAUUGCAUAAUAUCUAUUUCAAAAAAAUAUUUAUAUGUUCUUAGUUUUUAUAAAUCAUCUUAAAUUCUAACAUGUGGUUUGCUCAUCAAAGUUGUUUUGUAUUAUGUUAAUUUAAUGUUGUUUGAUAUCUCAUGGAUUAGUUGUUUUAUUAUUGCAUGCAUAUUUGUUGUAUCGUCAUAUCAAUUAUUCUCCAUCCAUGUUUAGAAUUUCGACUACAUUUUCCUUAGAUUAGCCAUACUUGAUUAUUAGUUUAUUAAUUGGCAUUGUAUUUUAUGAGUGUAUAUCACCCUACGUUUUUAUUUCUCUUUCGAGUUUACCAAUGUUGCAUUGUAAUUUUUAACCCUUUUUUUUUAAAGAAAAAUUUUUAAAUACUCCAUCUUAUUUCAAGUAAAAUUAAUACGUUUUAAGCUAGUUUUAUAACUAUUCAUUUAAAAAUUCUUUAAAACGAAGGCAAUACUUGAUGUUUGGCAAUUCAGAAAUCGUGCCCUAUCGUGCUGGGUUGCGAUUUCCUGUUUGUUCAAAACAAACGAAUAUUCCUUUGGAAUUUCAUUCAUGUCUUUAAAAAUUCUUCAAAACGAAGGUAAUGUUCGAUGUUUGGCAAUUCGGGAAUCGUGCUCGAUCGUGCUGGGUUGCGAUUUCCUGUUUGUUCAAAAUAAUCGAAUAUUCUCUUAGAAUUUCACUCAUGUUCUUUGAAUUCUAAAAUAAGGCAAUGUCCAAUGUCUAGAAAUUCGAAGAAUCGUGCCCUACUAUGCUGGGUUUCGAUUUUUUUCGUUGGACUAAACAAUUGGGCAUCCUUUUGCGGUUUUCAACACAUAAACUUUUAGAAGUCGAAAUUUAUCGUGUUUUCGAGGGUAUAAAGGAUUGUAUCCUAUCGUGCUGGAUGUGAUGCUGUAUCCUUUUGAAACAAGAGAAUUUUGACGACCAACUUGGGCUAUUCAAGUGUUUAUAAAAGGAACCACAGUUCAAAGAAACAUUUUCAAAUCUUAGACAUAAGGACAGUAUUUAAUCGGUUUGGUACCAAUUUUGGGCGUAGUGAGGGUGCUAAUCCUUCCUCAUGCGUAACCGACUCCCGAACCCGUUUUCUCAUAUUUUCGUAAGACCAAAGUCGUUGUUUUAGUAAAAAGAAAUAUUUUAUUAAAAUAACCAAAUUUCUAGGUGAUCCGAUCACACCUAAACAAAAAGAUUGGUGGCGACUCCAUAUUUUUGUUUUCAAAAAGUUGAUUCCCCAUUUUUCAUUAAAUUUAAAUCUGAAAGAUGGUUUCGACACAUGCUUUUAUUGGUCCAUUUUUUAUUUAUUUUUGUCAUUACUAUUUUAUUUUUAUUUCUUUUGGUGUGUUCUUGUUAUUUUAUUAUUUCUCUUCUUAUUUUUGGCACUUUCAUGUCAUGCCCAUUUAUCUUUUUAAUCAUGCAUUUUUCAUUUUUUUUUAAAAUUUAUCUUAAGAUACUUCAUUUAUUUAUUAUUACUAUAAUAUGAUUAUAAUAAUAAAAUUAAUAUUAAUAAUCAUAUUAUUACUAUUAUUAUAUUAUUAUUAUAGUAUUCCUUUAUUUACUUAUUAUUUAUCGUUCUACCCACAUAGCCAUUUUAUAUUAUUUCAUUAUCACUAUAUCAUACAUUAUGUUCAAACACAUUUGUCUGUUUCAUACUACGCCCAAAUAAACUAAAUAUACAUCAUUUUAAGUGUUACAUUGAUUUUUAUUUGAUGCAUAAAAAGGGAAAUUUCAAAGCCAAGGCAAUGUUUUUAUUAGAGAUUCGAGAAAUCAUGUCCUAACUUACGAGGUUUGAUUUUCUCUUUGAACCUAAAUAAUCGAACAUCCUUUUAAAACUAAAACACAUGAGAUCUAAACAAUAAUUAAAUAAUGAGCAAUUUUAUUUUUGAGAAUUUGGGAUGCCGUGUCUUAACUUACUGGACAUGACCUUUUCGUUUUGGUUAUCUCGAAAUAAGAAGGCUGCUUAUAUAAGUUUUGAUUUAACUAAAUGAUUUCAAUUAAAAAAUCGUGCAAAGAGGGAUCAUAUUUAAAUUUUCGAAUUUUCAACUUUUGACAUUAAGACACGAAUUAAUAAACUAGGUACCAAUUUUGGGCGUCACAAGGGUGCUAAUCCUUCCUCGUGCGUAACCGACUCCCGAACCCAUUUCCUAGAUUUUGAAUCGAAAAUCAUCGUUUUAGUAAAUCUAGACUCUUAUUAAAAUAAUCAAAUUAUGAGGUGACCCGAUCACACCUAAUAGAAACGAUUGGUGGCGACUCCAUUUUUAGUUCUUUUAAAAAUAAAAAGUCGAUUUCAAAAAGGUUUCGACACAUAUGAACAACAAUUCAAUUUUUAUAUAUAUAACUGCACCAAAUCAAUAUUCAUAUAUCAAAUUUCUGGUAUAAAUUUGAUAUUUAUCCAAAAAUAAUGUCAUUUUUUGCAGAAAAUCUUUUGACUUUCCAGCUAAUCGGGUGGAAGCAAAUAUUCCGAAUCUUCCUUCAAUAUUUACUAGCAAAUAAUAAGAUUAAAACGAAUUAACAAAAGCUAACUAUGUCUUGGACUGAUGACAAAUGCAUUAUGUUGUAAGUACAAAUGUUUGAGUUUAUUCCCGAACAAUAUCAUUCUCCUUCCCUAAUUAUUAAAAACAACUAAUUCUGAAAUAGUUUACGAUAAAAAAUUUGGUCCACUUUAGUAUUAACGUUUAGAAUAUGUUAUGGUUAAAUUUUGAGUUUACUAAAUUUAUCUUAAAAAUCACUUAUUACACGUCUAAUGUUACAUUAUUAAUUUUAGAGUAUUAUGAAUAAAAUAAUAUAUCAAGAAAUAUCAAAUUAACUAUUAUUAUUUAACUUUAAUAAACAAACAAAAUAAAAUCAAUUACUCAAAAUGUUCAUUUAUUCUCACAAUUUGUAAGUCUCAGAAAAAUUUAUUGAGCAAUACCCAUGAAGGAUGUGUGCUCAAAGAUCUAGCUAAGUGCCUUAAAAGGCUUGUGGGGGGUUUUGCUAUUAACUUAGUGAAGGGAGUGUGCUCAAAGAACUUGUUAAGUGCCUUACGAGGCUAGCAAUAAUUCUCCUAUUAACUUAACGAGCAACACCCAUGAAAGGUGUGUACUCAAAGAACUAGCCAAGUAGUACUUGAAGAGGCUGAAAGCAGGGUGAUUCAAAAUUAUUUAAAUAUUAAAUUCGAAAUUGGACACAUGAGCUUGAUAAAAACUAAGAGUGUGACUGAGAAACUUAAAAAUAUCACUUAAAUUUAUAGUUUCUAACUUUAAGUAGCAAUUAAAUACCAAAAUAUUAACCCUACAACCAUUUCAGAGAGACGUACCAUGUUGUAGUUGACCAGCUCCAGUAGCUGUAGGGUUAAUUUGAACCUUCCAGGCUUCCACUUUCACGUAAUUUCCAAUGAUGUUCCUUUGACGAUAAGGUUGUGAAAAUUCUACCAGACAGGGUGAGGCCACCCUAGCAUUAAAUAAUGUGACCUAACCCCUUUAACACGUCUUUUUUCCACAUUACUUAUUGACUUAUCGUUCAUACUCUUUGCAUUGACUUAGCUAAGUCCACACAUUCAUGCUUGCAAUUCUCACAUUCAAUUAUCCAAGGGUCCCAGAAAAAUAUUCACUUGAUAUACUAUAUGAUGAUGAAAAGAUUAAGAAAAUGUGAGCACAUAGAAUCAAUCAAGAAUUUAACUCGAUUAUAGAUAUGGUAAACAUAAUCAUUAAACCCCUUGGCUUAAAAGCUAACUAGAAAUAUGCUUUCCAUGCACGUUUGGGAUUAAAAAUAAUUGUUUUCAUAUCCUAUCUUUUCAAACUUUGAACCACCAAAAUGGACUAAAUUUCUUCAAGGCAUAGAAAAGCAACUAAAGGUAAAAAGAAAAUCACCCCAAAAGAAAAGUCUCUUUCCAUUACAUUACUUUUCAAAACAUCAAGUCCUUUGUUCAUAUGAACAUCAAAUCAAUCUUACCACAAUUAUUCAUUAUUUAAUAAUAUGACAAUUCCAAUUAUUAGUAAUUUAUAUAUGAAAAAAAAAAGAAGUUAUUUAAAAAAAGAAUAAAGGGUUUAUAGAGCAUCUUUGUAUUAUACAUUUUUUUGGUGAUUUAAUUUUACUAUGAUUAUUUCUAAUCUUAGAAAUGAUAAAUUAUCAAAUAUAAUUUUAUCAUUAUUUCAAUUUAUAAUUUCACAGAGACUAUGUUUUUGGGAUCAAGACCCUUGCAUCUACCCUCAAAAAUUAAGUUUUGGGUAUUACUAGAAAUGUUCUUCCAAAUCUCAAUCAAUGACGAAGCAAAUCACCCUUAAAUCAUCAUGACCAAAGGGUUCUCAUGUAAUAAUACCAAAUAAGUGUUCAUCCCCCUCAUUUAACACUUUAUGCAUAUUCUGCCUUGGGAGUAAAGCACAAAAUCCAUGCAAAUAAUAAUAAUAUUAUGAUUAUUAAAACAAAAAAUAAUUGAAAAUAGUAUUAUUACGCUACAUUUGGUAGGAGUGAUGUUUUUUCACUAUAGUUUAGUAUAUGAUCAUUUCAAUUAGUUAUUUUUAGUCAUUCAAGUUAGUUGUUUUCGAAAAAAUAAAUUUUUUUAAUAAUUUUAAAAAAGUUUUAUAUUUUUAAUUUUUUUUUUACUUACUUCAUGUCGGUUUUAAAAUCCAUUUUUAUUUUAUGUCUAACUAUUAUAAUACAAAUUUAUUAAACGAGCUGUUAAUUUCUUUACCAUCCCAUAAUCUCAACACAAAAUAUAAAAAAGAAAUAACCUUUCAACACUUUGUUUUCAUUUCUUCUUCUCUCAUUUUCUUAAUUUCUUAUAUAUAUUAAGUACUUUUCAUGCAUGAAAAAUGAAUCCCUUUUUCUUUUCUUUAAUGCUUUUACACACACACAUCAAUACAUACAUGUAUGUGUAGUCUACUUCUAAUCACAUGGGAUUGAGCUCAAGCAAUCAUCAUAUCCUUAAAAAGUAAUCAAAAAAACCCUUUUGAUCACAUGGAUUUGGAAUCUUAUACUCCAUAUUAAAAGUCCUUGUUUUUUUCCUCUUCAAAUUACAAGGAAAUUAAUUAAGAACCCUUCCAUUCAUCCACGAAAUGAAAUCAUUAUUUCCUUUUUCUUUUUUCAAUCUCAAAGAAUCUUAAUCAGAAAGAUGGAAGUAGACAAGCGUUGUUCAUACACGAAUCUCAGUUUUUUUUAACAGUCAACUAAAUUGUACUUUGUUUAAUUUGAGGUUGGGGUUUCUUGGUCGGUUUGUCUGAAUAUUCCUUCAUUUUGUAAACCUUUAAACUCUUUUUUUCCCCUCCUUACUAUUGAAUUAACAGGCAGAAAAUUUGGGGCUUGUAUGUGUUUUUUAUUACUGCCCUGUUUUCCCCUUGAUUUCACAAAUUAAAAGGGAGACAAAGGGAAAUGGGGGGAAGCAUGCCUUUGCUGCUAUGUGCAUGAAUGCCACAUUGAAGCAUAUCAUCAUGAUGGAUUCAUCAGCUACAUGCACAUGACGAAUAAGGCUAAGUCUACAUAAGACAGAAUGACGAGUUUCAUUGAAAAGGGAGUGGAAAGGAAUUUAAUGUAUAGGCAAACGAAUAGUAUUCUUUAUAGUCCAAUGACAAAAAAGCUAGAUUUUGAACUAAUAAUUGACCCUUUUUUCUUUCUUAAAAUACAGAAAAUUACAUGAUUUUAAUUUUUAAAAGUGACUCAUGGAAUGAAACUCAAUUUAAUUACGUCUAAAUGAUUAAGUUACAGAUCAUGAGGAAAAAGAAGAAGAAAAGAAUAUAAAUCUGGAAUAUGUUUGAUCACCAUCAAACCAAAUACAAGCAUAACAAGAAAAUUUUAAAAAUAAAUCAAUAGGAUUAAAUAUUAGAAAAAAAAUGAACAACUUGCUUAUCGAUUAUAUAAGAAUAUAACACAAUUGUAUCAAAGCUGGCAGCAUCCGACAUGAAACAUUGGCUUCUAGCACACUGCCAUGGUGGCUGGGUGGGUGUCCUUUUCGGCCUGAGUACAAAGUGUAACUUCAGCACAGGGUCUGGGAUAAAGCCUCUGCAAAUUCCAGGAAAAUGCUGCAUUUUGCACAUCAUGUCUUUAAUAACAAGACAAAAACACACACCCUUCUUUUUCCUAUUUGGCAUUUUGGAUUUACUUUUACAUUGUUGAUGAUAAUUAUUUCAUGUCUUGGAUAGCCAUGAAAUGGGUUUAAGCAAUGGACACCUAAUAAGGACACAGCAAAAGUUAAGGCGUGUAAGGCAGGUUCAGUUGGCUAAUUUUGUAGAAUAAUUUGGUAGGUCCAAAACCCCCUAUGAUUCAAACUGUUUUUUUUUCCUUCAUGUUAUUAUAGCAUAGGAUCUGUAAUUUCAUUUGUAGUGUCAUCAAAUUGCAGAUGUUUUUUUAAAAAAUAAAUUGUUGAUUGUAAAAUAUAUUUUAUUUUAAUAAAAAAAAAUCAAAUCCCGAUUACAUGAUUGAAUGAUUAUGUGGACAAUAACCUCAACAUAUGAUUAGUUUCAUCAAGCUUUUCCCAGUAGAAAAUCAUACUAACAAAAAAGUGCAUAUUUCACACUUUGGUUGUUGAACACAUUGAGGGGGUGUUAGUGAAGGGUAGCUGUGUAGUGAACUAGUUUUUUUUUUUUUUAAUAGAAAAAAAAAACAAAAACAAAGAAUCUUCCAGGUCAUGCAUGCAUUAAAAUAUUUGUAAUGAUAUUUAUCGUAAAGGUUGUUUUUCUCGCUCUCCUUUCCUCCUUGUCCUUUGGGGUUACAUAACAAAUAGUGAAAAUGACAUGUGUGGCAAUUUCCACAUCUUUGUGCUAUCAGCCAAGACCAAGACCCACAACACCCAUGGGUCAUUUUUUUGCACAUUUAUUGAGUGGGCACCAGACUACGUUAUUUCCUUUUGUUGUCUCACCCAAAGUAGAUUUCCCACAUCAUCACAUUAAGUUAUAGUACUAGUUAUACUAAUGAACAUAUGUAUGUAUAUAUAUAUGAACACAUUGGUCACAUAGUUUAAGAACACUAAUUAUAUUAAAAAUGACAACAGUAAAACUUUUUUAACAACAAAUAACAAGAUCAAAACCCUGGAAUCCAACAUAUAUAAGAAAAUUUUCUUCUCCAAGUAAACUUUCUUGUCUAUUUCCUAUUUACACUAUUUUUUUUUUCCAUUUUCCUUGACCUAAACCUAUACCGUAAACCCCAUUCCUCCUUACAUGAUAGCACAAGCAUUGGUGUUCUCAUCGUUAAACAUCUGGUGAGGUGGAUUAACAUACACCGGGUAACCUGGCACAUACCCGGGGUAACCAUGCCCGUGUGGGUGCGGAUACGGGUUUCCAUACGCGUAAGCUGGGUGCCCGUAUCCGGGAUAACCCGGAAUGUAACUAGGCAUGUGCCCAAAUUGGGGUGGAAGCAUGAACUCCAUUCGGUUCCCUUCCAUCUUGCCACCAUUAGCUUCGUUCCCACCAUCUUCACCACCACCUUUGUUGUUCUUCUUCCCUCCGUCGCCGCCCUCCUUGUUGCCAUCCUUCUCUUUCUUAGGAGCUACAAUCUCAACAUGCUUCUUCAGCUUGUCCUUCAAAGCCUCAGCCAAGGCCUUAACAUCCAUAGUCCCCUUAACUGUGACCAUCUCCUUCUGCCUGUCUACUUUCAACUCUUGGACACCUGCAACGCCGUUAAAAACAAUAUGUAUCAAAAGUCAGAAUCGAACGCAAGAAUUUCAACGCCGUAAGAGCAACGGAAAAUCAUAAAGGUCAUCACCUUUGGUUUCAGAGACAAUUUUGCUAAUCCUAUCAAAGCAUCCAUCACACUGGCAUUUCAAUUGCACCUUCAAAUCCGCCGUCGUUACCGGGGCCUGAACAAAGAUAAUAAAUAGCAAGCUUAAAUUACAUAAUUUUUUUAAAAACUUAAACCUCAAGAAAGUAAGUAACAAAUUUUGAAAUGAUAUAGAAAAUAUGGGAUUUUGUACCUCUUUGGGUUUUUUGUCUGAUUUAUUAUCAGAAUCCUGGUUUUUCUGUUGGUCAGGUUUUUUCUCUUUUUUUUCCUCUUUGUUAUCAUCUUUCUUGGGUUGAGAAGAAAUGAGCUCAACUUUCUUCUUCGUUUUCUUGUCGAGUUUCUCUUUAAUGGCAGUGGGAUCCGCAGUUCCUAUCACCGUCACUUUGUUUGAGCUCAUCUCUGGUUUCACCGUCUCCACCCCUAGGACAGAAAAAAAAUAAGAAGAGGAAAACAGAGUAAAUAACAAGAGCAGAAUGAAGAAAUGAAUAGGGAAAAGCCAGAAACAAGAAUGGGAAAUAAGCGUGGAAAGCGAUUAUACCUUGAAAUUGAUUAAUGCAUUUGAGGAUUUUGGAAGCACAACCAUCACAGAGACACUCAAAUUUGAAAACAGAGGUUGAAGAACUCAUUUCCUUCUUUUUCCCAUCCGCUCCUCCUUGCUUGUUUCCGUUCUUUUUCUGCAACAAACACGAAGAAUAACCAUAACACAAAAUCAUAUUAAUUAUGAACCAGAAAACGAAAUGAAAGAUGAUGAAAAGAGUAAAAAAGAGAAAGAGAAACGGGGUUAGGGGUUAGGGGGUGUAGUGCUAACUCACCUCUCCCAUUGCGAGUGGAAAUGCGUUAUGUGAAUCGGGUUUAAGUGAUGACUUGAAAUAUGAGAGGAAAAAAAGGAGAUGGAGUAUUUAUAGAGGGGAUGGAUGGUUCAAAACGCGUGGAGUGAAGGUGGCUGGCUAAGGGGUUAAGACUUGAGAGUGGGGGGUACUUCCAGGAAAAAGUGGUGGCCUUCAAAAGAAAAAAAAGAAUUGGAGGUUCUUGGCUGUUUCUUUCUCUGUGUCCAUUUAUGCAGCAACAGUUCGGUUCCUAAGGGUAUAUUAAUCCACUCCCUCCCCCAUCACCUGUUCACGCUUGCAUUGCCUCUGGUUCCAUCUGAAUCACAGUGGUCUCCCCAAUGCACUUACCUAAACCCAUUUAGACUAUCAGCGGAUCAAUCUCACGACUUUAAAGAUGUAGUGAACACCAUUCAUCAAUAAACCAAAUGCUAAAGUUCAAAUCUAGAAUAUUUUUCGAUUUGUCCAUGUCAACCUAUGCAAAUCUUCUCUAUAAAUUUUAUCAAUUAUAUAAUCCAAAGCUCAUUAAUUAAUAAUAUUAUUAAUAUAGAUAUAUUAAAGUUCUCUAUAUUUUUUUAAAAAUUUAAAUUUUAAUUCUUAUACUUUCUUUUUUGCUGUUAUAAUUAAUGAUAUGGCUUUUAUAAAAACCAAAAAGGUAAAAUAACUCUUUAAGCUUUCAAUAAUUAUAAUAUUUUAUCAAUUUAAUCCUUACACUUUAAAAUUGCAUAAAAGUUUGAAAAAAUGUUUUAAAAAUUAAAUUAGAAAAAAUGUUUUAAAAAUUAAAGCUUUUUCAUAUUUUCAAUAAAAACUAUGAAAAAAUUGUGAAAAAAUUACAAAUGCAACCAAGGAUCUUCUUUUGAAUAAAUUAAAAGCUUUUUCAUAUUUUCAAUAAAAAAUAUAAAAAAUUUGUGAAAAAUUAAAAUCUUUUUCAUAUCUUCAAUAAAAAAUUACAAAUCGUGACCGGAGUUUGGUCUUUCUUUUGAAUCGAAUGAGUAAAAUAAUAAUAAAGUUAUAAAAAGUAAGAAAAUAGAUGUGAAAAUGAAUGCAAGAAAGGCAAUGGGUAAAGAAGAAGAGGUGAGAUUCAAGUUUUUGAGGACAAGGAUCUUAGCCUGCAAAGGGGUAUUGAUGCGAGAGAGAAUAAUUUUGUUAAUAAAUAUGUGUUAUUUCUAUUAACAAUAAUUGACCAUGAACCCAACUCAUUGCUUUUUUAUGAUUUUAUUUCUAAUUAUUUUUUAUUGUUGAUAGGAGAAUGGUUAUAUUUUGUUUUUUUUAAACUAAAUUUACGUAAAAAUAUUUUAUAUAUAAUUAAUCUGAUUUUAAAUUUUAAAAAAGUUUUUCAAAAUUAUUUUAAUAUGAACCGAACAAAUAUUUCAAAAUUUAGAGACACUUUGUUACUAUUCAUGAACUAGAUAACAUUUUUUUUUAAUUUUCAAAAAAAUUUAUAUUUUUCAUAGUUAUUUAGUUAUCUAAAAUGAAUUUUAUAAUUUUUUUAAUUUUAAAGAGGUCUUAAUUUUCAAAAAAAAAUUAUAUUCAUUAUUGAAAAUAUGUAAAAAGACUUUUAAAUUUUAAAACAUUUUUUUUUUGUAAAUUUUAUGUUCUUUUAAAGUGUAAAGACCAAAAUAAAAAAAUUAUAAAUGUUAAGGGCUAAAAGAGUUAUUUUACUUUUUUUUAUAAUAACCACAUCAUCAAUUCUAGCGGCAAAAUUGAUGGAGGGACCAAUAUUUUAAAUAAAAGAAGUAUAGGGACUCAAUAUCUCAAAAUUAAAGUAUAAUGGCUAAAUUUUAAAUCUCAAAAGAGUACAAGGAUUUUGACAUAUUUAAACCUUUUUAAAUUUGAAAAUUUUUUAAAAAAUCAAAUAUGAUCUAAAUUCUAAAUGUCGUUAUAGGUGUAAAAUAAUCAGAUCUCUAUAAAAUUAUGGCAGACAAAUGAGACUAUUAUAGAGAGAGAUGAUUAUACUAGGUUCUCUUAUAAACCGUAUAUUUCAAUAGUGUUUUUUCUCUUGAGAUUAUUCAAUAUUUUAUGGUUACAUUGAAUUUUGAUUAAAUUUCAAAUCGGAUUCUAAACUAAGAGCACGUUGUUUUUUCCAUCAGAAGACUCGAACUUAAAAUCAUACUUAAAAGACACUGAGCUCUUAACUACUAAGUCUAACUAAAACUAGUGAAAAAGCGCAAGUUGGUUUGCUCACAGUCCAACUUGAUGUCCCAACUGAUAUUUGGACACGAGUUUGAACAAGACAUUUUGACUACAAUUUAUAAAUGGAGAGUAAAGUAAUGAGAGAUAUCAACACAUAAUAUUUGUUAACAUGGUUCAGAUCAACAAUCUUACUCUGUGGAGCCUCGAUUAGUGAAUAAUUUUAUUCAAUAAUUGUACGGAUCACCUAUUGGCUUAAGCACAAUCUACCCUUACACAAAAAGUAAUUGUAGCCCCAACAAUAAUCCCGAUUGGUAUAAAUCACUCACCCAAAACCUCACUUACAAAUCAAAAGAACUCUCCGAUAAAACAAAUAACCAACCAAAAGCACUCUCACAAGUACGCAAACAUGUGCUGAUAGGUGUUAAAAGUAACAUGUUUUAGUCUCACUCUUAAUGCAUUUUUGAAUGAUUAUUUGAUGUUAAUUGUGAAUUUUAUGCUCUUAAUCUUUUAAAUUCACGUUUUUAUACUUAAGAAAGCAUUUGGGAGCAAAAAUCGAAAAAUUGGAGCAAGGUAAGGGGGCCACACGAGCUGGACCCUCCUACACGGGCAUGUUCCAAACCGUGUAAAAAUCACGAAUUGCAUUCCAGAAAUGCAGAAAAACUCAAUUUUUAGGUUUUUUGAGCAUUUUAAGACCUAUAUAUCAAAUAUAAGAAGAGGGGAGAGGAUUGUUUUAGAAUACUCAAGAAAAUUACUCGGAAAACAUUAUUGAAGUCGACUUUGAAGCAGAUUUCCAUCAAGAUUGAAGAUCUCCUUUUGAUUUAUUUGAACUUUAUUAUGAGUUUAUUUGUUUCUUGUGGUUAUACUAUCUCUGGGAUGUUUUUAUUGCAACUAUGAACUAAUUUUCUAAAUGCCUAGGGGAGAUGAACCCUAUGAUGAAUUUUGUCUUUGGGAUGUUUAAGAGUAUAUAUAGCAUAAUUGAGUGGAAUUGCAUGCAAUUCUAGAAAUAAGAUGAUAUAAAUCUACUGGAUUAGAGUCAAAUCUAAUAAAGGGAUCCAUAAAUCGAGUUAAUGCGAUAAUAGGAGUUUUGAAUUAGAAAGAAAUUUAAACUAAUCAACCUAGAGUCAUUUACUCUUACUCUCGAAAAGAGAUAUUAGCAUAAUUUAGGGAUUUCUACAGAUCAAGAUGCUAAGUAAAGGAAUUGUUUAAUUCAAAUUGAUAUCUUUCCUAGGUAUUAUUUCGCUUCUUGGUUGUUAAUCGUUUGUUUUCUUGAUUCGUUCUUUGUCGGGUUCUUUAGUUAAUUAAUUUAGUUAAUUUUAGUUUUAAAUCAAUCUCACCAAUUUACCGAAUAAAUAAUAGAAAGGUAGUAAUUACUGGUACUUUUAAUCCUCAUGGGAACGACAUCUUUGCUCACCGUAGCUAUACUAUUAAUUGAUAGGUGCAUUUAUCUUUGUCGGAUUUUUAGUUGGUUUAUGAUCGUAAUCAUGUGCAACAACCAACAACUUUUAUAUGCCAAACACAAGAUACUUUUAAGCAACAUUUUGAUAAGCUUAAAACUCUUAAUAAAAAAUCGAAUUUAUCUCUUAAAAUAUCUUAAUAAUUAUCCCAUAACUUCAUAUCCAAAUAAAAUAGCCAACUCGGUCUCCAGGUAAAAGGAUAAGGUACGAGAUGAUGAAAACUGAUCCUUCCUCCUCUUCCUCUUCAAAUUCAUGAAUCGGCAUCAUUAAGGAUAAAAUAAAACAUGGUCUAAGGAUCAUUUGCUGAUAAAGUAACACACCAUGAAGAUAAAAGUAAAAAAAUGUCAACUUCAUAAUGCGCUUAACUAUCUUAAAAGCAUGUUUAAACUGUUGUCCAAAUAUCUAUCCAGACAAUUGUUUGAACAAAGAAUGAAACAUGAUUACAUAACAUACCAUUCAAAGAGGAGAGCAAGAAAAGCUAAGCUCCCAACAACCAGUAAACUGUUGUAUUUACUGGUAGGCACAAAUUUCAUUAUUAGAGUUACUUGUGAAGUUAGUAGUCUUUUUAGUGGAUCGUGUUAAAAGGGACAUGACACAUAGACUAUGACCAAGAUGAUUUGAGUGGUGGUAUGACAGAAUUGAAUUUCGUAGAAACCCACCCAACGCUCAACGUGCACUGAUAUAUGGACUCAUUAUUACAGACCCAAACCAUUAUGAGUUGGUGGUGAAUGUAGAUAGUAUUUUAGUUCAUUCAACAAAUCAAAUAAUAUCCCGUUGGCCCAAUGCUAUUAUCUACAUAUAUUUGUUAAUCGUUUGGGUCUGUAAUAUAUGGACUCCAUAUCCCCAUCCUCCAAUUUUCACUGCAUUCCAUUCUCUGCUUCUUUUGCCCCUCUUUGUCAGACUAUAUUUUCAGAGAAUUGUUGCAGAUGAUUUGGGUAGAAUUCUCCUACAAGUCCAUGCACUAUACCCAAGAUUGUAUUGUAGUCCCUCUACUUGAAAAAAAUAGAAUACUGGUCCUUGUUUGUUACUAAAAUAGCAAAAUAGUCCUUCCUUUAAAAUUGUUUGGUUAAAUGUUUAUUUUGUAUAUAAAUCCUAAUACUAAAUUUUGUCCUUUACCUUUACACUAUUAAUUUAUUUGGAGCAAAUUGACACUCAAACUUUCGAACUAUUUUAUCUUAUAUACUAAGUAAACACAUAAUUAGAGAUUCACAAAAAAUUAAAAAUUUAGGAAAAAAAUUAUAAAUAAAAAUUAUAAAUUUCCAAAAAUUAUAAAGAUAAAUAAAAAAUAAAAAUAUGUAGAAGUUUUCUCAAUUUUUAAUAAAAAAUUCUAUGAGAUGCAAAGGAGUUAAACAAAUAAUAAUAAUUUUAAAAAGUUGUUAAAAAAAUUUCACGAUUCUUAAAAAAUUAUAUUAAAAACUUAAAAGAUUAGUUUAAUUGUCGUUUUAAAAAAUAGUUUAAUUGCGUAAGUAAUACUAAAUUAUGUUAUCGAUACUUUACACAUCUUUUCAUUUUUUUUCCAAAUUGGGUUACCGUUUGAUUGAAUAAAUUAUUAAAAUAUAUUAAAAAAUAAAAAAAAAUAACUUGAUCGUCGGUUCAAUUAAUCUAGUCUUUUCUUCCGAAUCGAUACCUUGAUCACUUCUCAAUCCAAUCGUUCUAAUUGACUAGUUUGGUCCAGUUCUGAAAACAAUGACUUUUUUUAUAAUUUUUUUACUUUUUCUUCUUUUAAAAUUCUUUUUAUUUAAAAAAUAGAUUUUUAUUAUUAUUAUUGAGUCUUAACUCGGUUGGCAUGAAUAUUGCUAUCAAUGUAGUUGGUCGUGGGUUCGAGUGCACUGAAGCGUAUUAUCCUCCUAUUUAUGGGUUGAGGAGGGGCUAUAGGUAGUUCUAGCCUUCUAGAUAUUGUGUUAAAAAGAACAUAUAUGAUCAGAAGUUAUAAUGAGAUUGUUCAAAAAAAAUAUUUUUUUAUCAAAAAUUUUAAAAAAAAUUAUAUUUUUUGGAGAUAUUUAUAAAUAUUUUUAUAAUUUCUAAAAUUUUCUAGUUUUUAAAUCAUUUGCUAAAAUGUCAUGUAAUAUAAAAUAAUAUCACAUCAAUAAUAAAAUACAAAUAAAUUGUACGAGAGCUGCUGCUUUAGUGUCUCGUGCAAUUUCAAAGUAGGUGUUAAAUUGUAAUGGAAUUUUUCCAAUUUGACUCAAAAUAAAAAGUUCCCAAAUAAAAUAGAGUAGAGAUCAAAUUGAAUGUAUAUAUGUAUAAAGUCAAAUUGAAUAAAGAUAUAAAGGUUAGAGGCUAAUUUAUUAUAAUGCCUUAAAUAUAUAUAUAAAAAUAAAAAAAAAACUAAAUAAGUACUUAACAAAACAAUUUCAAUGAAGAGACUAUUUUUUAUUCUUUUCUAUAACAUACGAAAUUAAUUUGUUCAUUUUUUAUGUAAAGGGAUUAAAAUGCAAUCUAAGUAUAAUACAUAAACUUCUAUGGUAUUUUAUUGAUAAUUUGCUUGGUUUAUGAAAAAAAAACUUUUUUAUUAAUAAAUAUAUUGGAUGCAAUGGUAAAUUAUAUUAUAUUUAUAAAAUAAUUUAACGAUAUUAUUAAAAGAGACAACUAUGAACGAGAUAAUCUAAGUAAAAAAAAAAAAAAAGGUAAGUGGUUAGGAAGGCAAGCAUGAAGAGGAAGCAUAUAUAGAUGGUGGGGGAAAGUAGAAUUAAAGGAUUAGAUUUCAAAUAUGGACUAAUUGGGACCAAAAUAUUAAUUAAUUAAUUUGGGUUUAAGACUAAAUCUAGGUUGCUCACAUUAUUCAAUAGGUGUUCCAAUUUAAAUGCAAUAAAUUAUUCCACAUUUAACUUUAUUUGUUCAUCCAUCCAAAUUAUGAUAUUUUCAUCAUCAAUGAUAAUGGGCCCAAACCUCAUUUUUCUAUUACAACUAUUACUUUAAAUUAUUCCAUUAACUAAACUAGUUGACAAUAUCACUCAACUACCUUCUUAUUUUAUGUUUUUUUUUAAGAAUAAUUUUAAUUUUUUUUAAAAAUGAUAUAGUUUUUUUUUUCUCUCAUCCACCUCCCAUUUCGAAACUACUCAAAUAAAGAGUUUUAUUUUUAAUUUAAUACUGAAUUUUUUAAAAAAAAUUGAUGAUGAAUAGAAAAAAAAAAUAAAAUUUAAAUAUUAUUAUUUUGGUAUAUAUCUUUUACUUUAUAUAUUAAAAGAGAUAAUAUAUUAAUUUUAAUAUAUAAAAGUUAUAAUUAUAAUUUAAAUUAUUUUUUUGGUGAAUUAUAAUAACAAGGUAAAACUCAAACAACAAAUACAACUAGUAUGACUCUAAUUCAGACCACAUCUGGGAUAGUGACCACCCUUAACCAUCAGGCCAUCAUAUGGGGUUCUAUAUAAAUUUUAUAUAUACUUUUUUUUAAUUAAUCUGUGCAUCUUUUUUAAAAAACAAUAAACUAUAAUAAUUACUUAAAAUUUCUAAAAAGAAUAUUAAAAAUAUAUAAAUUUGAAAAUAAAAUCACAAAAGACAUUAUUUUUUAUCUUUUUAAGUUAAUUUUCUUUUCAUAUUUUUUAAAACUUUUGUAUAUUUCUAUUUUCUUACAUAAAAUUUUUAUUAAAUUUUAUCUAAUCUUUACAAAAUUCACUUAAGAUUUUAAAUUUUAUUUAUGUAAAAUUGAUAUGAAAAAUAUAAUAAUUUAAAAUAAAAAUUGUUCACGUAUCAUUAAAAUAAUAUAUAUAUAUAUAUAUAUGACUAGUUAUCAUGUUUUUUUAUUAUUUAUUAAAAUAAAAAAAUAAAAAAUUAGUAGUAAUAGGUUGGACUUGAAUAUGAGUCUAUUAAGUAGGUAAAGGUAUACCACAAUCUUUUUGACCUUCACUACAAAAGACAUCCCCGGAUAUGCUUUCCAUACAAUAUAUAUUGAAUAAUAAUAAUAAUAAUAAUAUUGUUUGAUGGAUAUGAUAAAAAUAUUAAAUUAAAUCAAUGUAUAAUUAUAUUGAUAAAUUUAAUAAUUUGAUAGUUAAAAUAUUAAUUAUAAAAAUAUCUAACAUUAAUUUAAUUUUAUACUAGUUUGAAAUAAAAACAGUAUAUAUAUAUAUUGGCAAAUCAAUUUUUAUAAAUAAAAAAAUAUUAGAAAUUAGCACAAAACAAGGCUGGAUCUCAUGGCACAGUGAUGCAGCCUGACAGGGAUCUUGUGAUCAUGCCAUAUUUGGAGCUCUUAAUUUGGACUUUUUCUAGUGAGGGUUACAUUGCCAAAAUAUACUUCAAUCCUUCUUGAUUUCAUGCAUACAAUAUUUCCCAUCAUAAAGAUUCAUGCUAACCUUCAUACUCACAUGAUUUUUUUUUAUUCAACAAGUUCUAUAUAUUUUAUUAGUUUUUUUUUCUUUAUUUACCAGCUAAGAUCAGUAGAGGUUGAUGUUGAACAAGAAAAUUUUCGAUAUUGGAUUAAGUUUAUGUUGCUGAAUCAGACAAUUGAAGUAUCAACUACCAGCAAAUUAUAGGGAAUUAUAGAAAAUUAAGUGAUGUAGUUAGUGACAGCAUCCAUGCAGAUAAUUGAUGUAUAAUUUUCUUAUAAUCCACUGUUGUCUAUUUUUUUAUAUUAAUUUUUUGUUUUAGAUUUUUAAUUUUUUUUAAUAAAAUGAGAUUUAUUAUAUGUUUUUUUAAUAUUAUUUAACAAUAUUUUAAAGUAUUUUUAUAAAUAUUUCUAAAAACUAAUAACUUUUCAAGAACUUUUAAACUAUUUUCACUAUUUUAAAUACAAAAUUUUUAUUUUUUAUAUCACAAAAAUUAAAAGUAAUUAUAAAUUGAAUCAAAAUAGAAUUUAAUUCGAUUUAAGAUAACCUCAAUUUUUAAACUUGCAUACCAUAAAUUAUCCAAUGAUGAGAUCAAAUUUUCAAUUUUUCUUGCUCAAUCAUGAAAUCAAAGCUUUUAAUAUCCAAAAGAAAAAAAAAAGAAGAAGAAGAAGAUAAUUUAGUAUAUAACUGAGUAUUUAUUAUAUAAAACAAUAAGACUGUAUUGUAAUGAGUUUACAGGAAUUUUUAGUUGAAAAAAAGUGUUGUCAAGAAUCCAGAAUACUACCAACUGGAAAGUGUUGAAUUUAGUUUGCAAAAGGUGAUUAAUCAAAAGUACCAACUUUCAAACAAACAUUUGAAUUGUUUAUUGAUAUCAUAAUACACAGAGUUGAUGAGCUUUUUUUUUUCAAUUCAUUAAAAUAGCUGUACAUAUAAUAUAAAUAAUUAAAGUGGAUUCCGUUAGGAAAACUAGGAUUAUGAAGAACUGUAAGUCAUUUUUAAAGCAUUGUUCUUCCAUAAAAUUCCAAAAUCUCCACCCAUCACAAACAAAAAAGACGGUAAACAAGUCCACCUUUAUGUCUGACUUAGUUGCAUUGCAUUUAAUAAUAAUAAUAAAGUCGGGACCUUUUCAAUAUUCUUGACAAAACAGUGCCAGCAGUGAGCCUGAAAAAAGAUCCCAGUGUCAUUCAUUGGAUGAACAGUGCAUGCUUGGUUUAUCUUUGACAUCAUGGAUUCUUUGAAUGAUGAUGAUGAUUAAGUGGUCUAGUUUUCAUAAACAUUGAUUUCUGAUUAGGGAUUUCAGUGAUUGAGAGGGUCAGUACAGCAAUUACACCAUCAUCACACAAAAUAAAAAAAAAUUGCAGAAACUAAUAAGCUUUUUACUAUGUACUGUCAAAAGAAGAAAUGUUUCAUUUCAUUUCUAACACAAAUCUCCAGAAACUGAAACUCUACGCCAUCCCCCCUCACCUUUGGGCCUUACCCCAUCAAAUCUUUCUGAUUUAACACCUGCAGUCAGUCCAUCUCAGUAGUAAUAAUACAUGACUUUCUCUUGGCUCUUGCUUUCAUCAAUGAGCAAGUGGUUGUUGUUGUUGUUGUUACAGCUAUUAUUACUGCUACUAGAGUCCAUCAGUCGCUUAACAUCUUCAAGAUCAGAGUCUAAUGGCGUUUCUCCAUGGUACCCACUUGGUUUCUCAGUCCAUUGGUUUCGGUUGCCGUAACUUAACAUGAAUUUGUGAUUGUCUUCAUACCCAUUGGGUGCACAAAAGCCCUGAAAAUUACUCAUGUCUUCUUGCUUGAUCUCUUUGCCAAAGCUACUACCAUCUGAGGAACUGCAGCUUGGUUCACUCGCAAACAUCAGAAACUUUUCUUUUACCGGAUAAUAACUCACAAAACUGUCAGGGGUGUUGUGAUUAAGAGAAGAAUCGGUAGCCAAAAAAGUAUUGUUAUGGUUCAAAAGAUCAGAUUGAACAGUUGAUGAGGGUUCAAAGCCUGCAAAAGAUCUACUACUUGGAGUAUAAUAAUACGAAGAGCAGUCUUUGUAUGAUGGAGGUAUAGUUUGAUGAGAAGAUGGGAUUGGUAGUGGUGGUGGUUUUCUCUGUGGCUGAGAACUCAAAGCCAUGAGCUUCUUCUUAAGCUUGGUGUUCCAGUAGUUCUUGAUAUCAUUGUCAGUCCUGCCUGGUAACUGAGCAGCUAUUAUUGACCAUCUGCAAGUUUCAUAAAGAGUUCCAUAAGAAGUAAAUUCCUUGCCUCUUUCUGUAACAGUUUCUAGUAGGUGAUGUUGUUGAGUCUAAAUUCACCUACUAGCAUACAUGCAAGAGAAUUAUCCUGAAAUAGCAGAUUCUUGAAUCUAAACCCUUUUCGGUAGAAUUCGUUAAUAUCGCUUCAUCAUGGCAGUAUAUAGAUUUGGUAAGGUGGGAAGGUCCCAUCGAAAGAAUUAAAAGAUGGAGAAAGUACCUGCUUCCAAUGGUAGCAAAGAGGUUGCAGAUAACCAUAUCUUCCUCCUCAGAGAAUUCACCAUGUUUAAUGUUGGGCCUGAGAUAGUUUAGCCAUCUCAAUCUACAGCUCUUCCCACAUCUUUUCAGACCUGGAUAAUAUAUACAGAGACAAGAAACAACAAAUUAGCUAAGGAAUCACCAAUCAAAGAGAAAAAGAGAAGCAUAAAUGAAAUAUAUUUACCAGCUUUGUGAGGGAGAGCAAUCCAAUUACCACCAGUUCCAUAUUUCUCAAUGUAGUCCUUGAGCUUAGAGUCUUCUUCAGGAGACCAAGGUCCUUUCUUCACACUUGCCUUGUCACAGCAAGGAGCCCUCCCCAUUUCUCUCUCCAACACAACUCUUGUGAUCCCCUUAGAUAUUUCUGUUGACACCUCUUUUUACAAACCAAACCAACCCAAGCCAAACCUCUCUCUCCCUUUCUACUACUAAUAAACUUCCUUGCUGACUGCUUCCUUUUAAUAGGAAAGAUUUGUGCUCACAAAAAUACAAAAACAAUUUUACUUUGGAUUUUAUUAUUUAUUAACAGGUACAAAUUAUUUAAUAUGUAUAGUUUCUAACUGUUACAUCUAAUUUAGAAAAAAUAAUUUCACUUUGAUUUCUUUUAGAAAUUAAAAAAUAUUAUUAUAAUAAUAAUAUAUGUUUAUAUUUAUUUAAAUGGAUAAAAAUAUUACCCAUUAUCAAAGACAUCAAAAGUCCAACGUUAAUUGUUUAUUGGAAAACAUAACUAUAUACAGAACCCUGCCCUACAGUUGAGACAUUUUCCAAACAACAGCAACUAUUCUCCAAGCAGAUAAUUUUCUUUUACUUUUUUUAUACACUCAAUAAUUUUAUGGUAACCAAUCAAGUCAGGUAUUGUGUUUCCUUUUUCUUUCAUUUCAUUCUCCAAGUAAAAUUAUCAUUUAUAUUGUUAAAAAUUAUCUUGAUUAAAAGAAUAAUCAACUAAUGAUAUUUGAUACCUAUAUAUAAAAACUAACUUUUUAACAUUUGAAACGGACAAAAUUUUUAACAAAAGAAUCAAUUUACUCUUUAAUCUAACGUAAAACAAUUAAUUUAUCCAAAUCUAACUCCUAAUAUAAAGAUUUCCACGUUACUUAUACUCAUAGAGUGAGGGUACCAAAAAGGCAAAGCACAUCAAAAAUCAAAUACACACAACUACAUGAGGUUAAAAAAAAAAAAAACUAAGAAAACAAAGAAAAACGAAGGUCUCCACAUAUCAGUUACUUGGUGAUCAGAUCUGGUGCUUUCUCCCAACUGACUAAUGAAUGCGAAACUGUUGAUGCAUCAUAGCCUAUUAUUAUUAUUAUUACCACAGAAAUAGGAAGUAGUGAAAAGUGGGCAAACAACAGCUUAUAUAUUGUGUCUGAUACAUUGUAACAUUUCCAUAUUAACAAGGGCUUUCAUUUUCGUUCAAGUGACACAAGAGAAAAGAGCUGUCCCUAUAUGCACCCCUUACCACUUGGGAAUGAGUACCCUACUCUACUUGGUAUAUUGUAAUAAAUAAUUAAAUCCAGGUUUGUUUACCUUCCCUAAUUAGUCUUGCUAUAAUAGACUUCCCUGGAUAGGUUUUUUCUUUUGGCAUUUAUAUCAGCUUAUAGCAUAUCUAUGGCAGAUAAAAGGCAUGCUUUUUGCUUCCAUGUUUAUUCCACCCUCUAUAUGGUUAGUGCCCAAUUCCCACAUACUGAGACUAUACACAGAUAAUUUAUCAUUUCCCUUUUUAUGUUUAUUUCAAACUAUAUAUAAAUUUUGAUUUGAUAUUUAAAUUUCAUACACUAAUUUUAUAUUGGUGCAAUUUGUAUAUAUAAAACUUUAAUUUUGAUUCAAUUUUGGCAUAACACUAAUAAUAUUAUUUGUGUGGCACUAUUUUUUCCUUUUAACCUAGGUUAAUUUUAUGAUGUGGCAUUUUAUUAAACUAAAAACGAAGGAGUAAAUUUAAAAUUUUUCACGUUGCUACGAUGAUAAAAACAUGUAAUUUCAAUUUAUAUAAAAUAAUUUAAAAUUAUUCAUAACCAACUUGAUUUAGUGAAGAGAUAUUAUAAGAAAAAGUAUUCUACUUGAUUUAUUGAUUUAAUAAGUUUUUUGUUUUUAAUAGCAUGUCAUAUUAGCAAUUUUCACAUGACAUAAUAGAAAAUAAUUUCAUAUAAUUGGCUCCUCCAUUAGAUCAUUCGUUCUUAGCAGCACACUCUCAUCCUCGGAAGGGGACCACUGAGGCUUAAUAACCUUGAACUACUUCAACAAAGGAAAUGUUAGAGUAGGCCCACACAAAAUUAUGGUUGAUGACAACUAACAUAUAAUGGACUUGCACUUGGUCGACCAUACGGGCGAUCCACCAUCCUUACUGUCAGUAACAUGGCACUGUCAGGCAAGGGGACCUUCCCCCUAUAUAUACCUCAACCCACGAUAAACAAAGGAUCCUUCUCAUGUUUUACUCCCUUAAACCUUAAUAUUCCACAAUCUCCUCUCUUUAGCUCCCUUCUCCUUUCUCCUUCCGUCCUACUCCUCCGACUCCGGCAUUCUACUUGUAAUAGGUGAACACCUCCUUACCUUCACCACCAUUUCCAUCCUACCUUUUCCUUGUCAAAUACUAGUAUCAACAAGGUUUAAUGGUUUAAAAAAAAAACACAAAGAAAAAACUUAAAAUUUUAAUUGACUCUUCAUGAAAAAUUUGCAUCUAAUUGAGUCAUUAAAAUUGAAAAGUUGAUCAAACAAGUCUUUUGUUAACGUUGGUCACGUUUAACCAUGACUUUUUACAAAUGUGGCAGACAAAACAAGAAAAUAGUGACACGUGGCGUGCCACAUGUACCUAAUGUUGAUAUUCUAUUUUACCAAUAAACAAAUAUUUUUAGAAAAAUUAAAAAUCCUAAAAAUAAUUAAAAUUUAUUUAAAAAUUAAAAAUAGUUUCUCAAUCAGUUUUAAGAUCUUGGAACUCUAACUUCACCUAAUUUUGUUAAUCAAGUAUCUCUCGUUCAAGUGUUCAAUCUAUGUAAUUACUAACCCAGGAUUCAAUGGCAUUAACUAGACCCUUCCAGUAUCUAUCUAAGUUAAUCCCCCUCCCCACUAACUAUAUUCCUAUGCUAGGCAAGUUGGGUAAAGUCACUAUGACCAAACCUAUUGGGUUGAUUAGGAUAUCAAGUAUAUUCCUAUCCUAUCCGCAAAUUUAACUUGUUCACCGAUGCUACUAAAGUUAAUCUUAAUCCAUUCAGUCUAUAUUUAAACCUUAAUUUUCUAUAUUAAGACAAAUCAAGACUAUCAAAUUAUACAACUUGGUGGUCAGACAAGCAGAUUAAAUAAGUAUGGGAUUGAAUAAAUAAUUAACAAGGAUAGAAACAAUUGAAGAAAAUAAAUUAACUAACUAAAAAAUAAGAUACAUUAUCAUUCCAAGAAAAGAGUUUAGUUCAUGUUGAUUUGAGAAAGCAUUACAAGAAUAAAUUCAAAACAAAUUUGCAUUGAUAAAAAGUAAAAAGAAACAAUCUAGAGAGAAAAAUAAUUAUUGAAUUAGUGUCGAGCACUUCGGAUCUCUUUUUCUUCUCCUCUUUGCAAGCUUGAAAGUUCGUUUGGUGUGAAUGAGUUGUUUCUUAACUUCCAAGUUGAUUUUUCUCUCUUUUUCUCCUCAUUUCCUUUUAAAUCACGCCAACCCUUAUUGUUAGGGUUUUAAUCGUUCCGCUCCACCAGACGCAGAAUUGCGGUGGAGCGGACUGCUUGUUGUUUGAAAAUUCUCAAUUGAAGAUUGUGCUUCACUGGAGCAAAAGGCUCCUCUUCACUACUUUUUACUAUAUGCAUGGUUCAAGCGUUUCAUUCUUCAUUCAAAGCCGACAAUGUAGAGAGGAAAAUAACAAAUAAAUCUGAGCUAACUCUAAAAAUAAUAAAAAUAAAAUAAAACAUGAUUAAACUAAAAAUACAAUUUUUUGGAGGUCAAACUAUAAUUUUACCAUUUAUUUACUUAAAAUUUCAUAAAUCUUCAAGAGCUAAAAGUACAAUUUUCCGUUUAAGAGGUGGGGCUCUUGCUUGUCCUCCUUUCAAUAUUCUUAGAGAUUAAAAUAUUUGAUAAAUUUAACUCUUAACAUUUAAUUAAAUUUUAACUGAGAUUUUAUUUUGUGAAUCUUUUAAAUUUUGUGUUGUUUUCUAAUAAAUGGAAUCUUUCAAAAAAAAAAAGAUUUCUUUUAUUAAAAUGUCAACUUUAACAAUCAAUUUAAAGGUAUCCAUUAUUUAAUAUUAAGCUUUCACAAUCUAGAUAACAAACAAUAAUUAAAUUAAUCAAAUCUAUAUAUGAAAGAAAAUUUUCAAAAAAAUACAAGUGUCUUCUUCUGCAUUGACUCUUGUACAAGAAAGAGAGACAUCUUUCUCAACGGUUGGCCAGCUAAGAUUAGACAAUUGUGCAUGCUGUAUCCACUUCAUUAUAAUAACACUAUUUAAUGACUGAUUAAUAUAAUUAAUGAAAAAUGUGAUAACUUUAUUUUUAAAUCUUAUUAUUUAAUAUCUACUUAAAAAAGUUGAUUUAUUUAAAUAUUUGUGCAGGAGUGAGCAAAAUUCGAUUUAAUUUCAAAAAACUCGAUAAAAAUUCAAUUUUAAAUUAAAUAAUUUGAGUUAUUUGAGUUAUUCUGAUCAACUUGAAUUAAAAAUUAAGUAUUUUGAUUUAACUUGAAUAUGAAUAUAUGAAUUACACAAUUUGAGUUAUCUGAAAAUCUGAAUAAGAAAAGGCAAAACUACAACGUUUUGAUAAAUAUUUACUCAUUAAGUUAAAAAGUAAAACAAUUAUAUUGUUUAUAUAAUUAAAUAAUAUUGUACUUCGUCUACUGGUUAAAUAAUCGGUCUAUGUAAAGGCAACAUUGAGUAUAAAUAAUAUGAUUCGUUAACUCAACUGAACUUAACUUGAAAUUUUUUCACUCGAUUCGAUUCAAUUCGAAAAAAAAUCACAUUGAGUUUGGUUGCUAAAAUAUGAUUCAUCAACUCAACUAAUUUAAAUUUUUUUACUUAAUUCAACUCGACUCGAUCGAAUACUCAUCCCUAUAUUUAGAUAUAAAAUUAUACUUUUUUUUCCGUAUUAUGAACCAAAAAUAAAGAGUAGGCUAUUUUUCAAAUUUUAUUGCACCUUUGUUAUCGCACAAAUUUCGAAGUGCUUCCCAAUUUUUGACAUUUACCUUGUUAUAGUCUUAAAGUAGCGUUGAAUUCUAUAUGAUUUACGUAGUAGAGUUUGAUUGCGUCUUCAGAUUUAAUUUUCAAAAUUAAUCAUACUUUUACAAAUCACAUAUAUCCAUUUUUACCAUACAAUAUUCUUGAGAAGGGAUAUACUUACAUUUUUCGUAAUUUUUUAUACGAUUAAUAUUUUAACAAUUUAAUCGUUAUAUUUUAUACUUUAUUCAUAUAUAUCAUGUAUAUCGAGUUUGAUAUAAAUUAAAAAUAGUCAACUAUUCUUUUUAUGAAAAAAGACUUUUAAUCGUUAAAUAUAUCAAUAUAUAUAUAAUAUUUUAGAUCAAUAAGAUAGAUAUAUUUGAUCGAUUCAAAAAUUUACACACAUAAUAUGUACAAACAAUUGAAUCAUUAAAAUAUUAAUCGUACAAAAAUAUAUAUAAAGAGUAUAAAGUAGCUUUACUAUAUAUAUUGACUAAUGAGAGAGAUUUACUUAUACUGAUGUAAAAUUAAAGUAGCUUGAUACUCUUUUAUAUAUUUCUGUACGAUUAAUAUUUUAACGAUCUAACUAUUAAAUUUAUUAAUAUAUUUGUACUUAUUAUGCACAUAAAUUUUUGAACCAAUCAGAUAACUUCACCACACUAAUCUAAAAUGUUGUAUAUAUUAAUAUUUAUUGAACUAUUGAAAUUUUUUUACACAAAAUAAAUAGUUAAAAAAUUUUAAAUUUAUAUCAAAUUUUACAUGCAUAAUCUAUAUUAAUGAAAUAUAAAUCUUUAAAGCUUAAUCAUUCAAAAAUAUAUAAAAAAAAAACCUGAAAACUACUUUAAUUUUACAUCCCAUAGGCAUUUCAUAAUACCUACAAUGUAACCUUUGAAUAUUUGCUAAAUGAUGUAAUCUUUUGUGUUCUUUUAUAUCAUGCCUUCUCUUCAAGGGUACAAUUUAAAAAAUUAAAUUAAGAAGUUAGUUCGGUUAUUGAUAUUUUUAUUAAUUUGUUUCAUAUAAAAUUUUAAAUCGUUAAAUUUACUAAUUUCUUACAUAUAAAUUUAUAAAUUGCUGAUUUUAAGAUGAUCAUUUGACGAUAAUGUUUAAUAGUGUAAUCCAUUCAAACUAACUUGUAAGAUACAAAAACUAAAUUCCAACGAGAGAUUAACUUUUUGAAUUUUUGUAAAAGGAUGCUAUUAAUAAAUAACACUGAAAUUUGUAGUUAGUUCACAUUUUAGAAGAAUAAGAUCAAAUAGUACCAAAUGAAAUUUUAGAAGAAUUGGGGAGCAAAGUGAAAUUUGUGAAGAAAAGAGGGUCUUUCUUUUGAAAACCUAACAGACAAAAGUCAAAGAAAAGUCAGUCUCAAGGCUUUAAAUGAAAAAGUCUCCUCAAACUCGGAUUCUGAGUGGACAAAAGACAAAACCCUUUUCUCGCUAGCUGUCUCCAAUGACGUAAUACGUUGCGUACGCCACGUUACAAAGGCAGAAAAAUAAUAUUAUAAUAAGAGACUGCAUUUAAGGAAAAAAUGGUGAAGUAUAUUUCGAUGCAUUUUUCGUUUGGAGGAUCAUAGGUAGAUGUAGGAAUUAUAGAAAAAAUGAUUUCCUAGAAUAAUUAAAAAAUCAAUUAACCAUUUAAUCAAAUAUUAAUAAUUAAUUCAGCUCUUAAAGUAUAAUUUUUUUUAUCCGAUGAUGUGGCAAUUAACAAGAUGAAUAAUAGUAUGAAAAAUUAUGAUGUGGUGAAUGAUGUAGAAAAUGCUAUCAAAAGAGUUUAAUUGCUUUUUAAUUUAUUUUAUAAGGGUUUAAUUAAUUUUUAAAAAAGUAUAAAAAAAAAUUAUAAAAAAAAAAAGAGUUAAUGCACUUCUUGGGCUUGAACUUGAUAAUUUUUCUCAUAUUGGAGCUUGAACUUGUCUUUUUUUUUUUUUUUUGCUUAAGUUAGUUAUUGAACUUGUCAAUUGUUCUACAACUAAUUUUUUUAUCCAAAUUAGCCCAUGAUAUUUCCUUAAAAUAAGUUGGAGAAAAAAAAGUUCAAACCCUAAUGUGAGAAUAAUUACCUACUUCAAAUCCUAAUAUGAGAACAAUGGUCGAGUUCAAAAAUUAACUUGGACCAAAAAUGUAUUCUAACCCUAAUGUGAAAAUAAUUGUUAAGUUCAUUCUCUAUUAACUCUAAAAAUAGUAUAAAGAAGUUAUAAAAAUUUUGUUAAAAUAUAAAAAUAUUAAAUUUUAUAAUAGUAGUAUUUUUAACUUUUUAUAAUAUUUAAUACUUUUUCAUAAUUUAUAUAAUUUUUUCUAUACUAUUCUAAAAGGUUUAUAAUAUUUUAAUAAUUCUAAUAACUUUAAAAAGCUCUUUAAUAAAAAAUUACCAUUUUUUUAGUUUUUCUUCACACGUUGUCCUAUAUAGCACCAGAGUUCAUUCUUAUAUAAUCUUUUCUUAACUAAAAUCAUUAAUCACUGCUCACUUCAAGUAACUAAACACUAAAUUAAUUGUCGCUCAAACCCCUCACUCUGCACCCCAUAUAUAUUCAAUUAUCAUUACACUUCAAGUUCUUCAUUUUCUUAUUAUUGAAGCCAAAUACUUUAAACCUUCAAAAUAGCAAAAAUUUUCUAUAAAUUUUUAAUACUUUUAUAACAAUUUAAUAUUUUUAUAAUAUUUAUAAUAUUCAUUUUAAUACUUUUAAUAUAAAUACCUAACACUUUUUUAUAGUUUUAAUUUUUUAAAAAUUCUAUAAAUUCUGUAAUUUUUAUUAUUCUUUCUUAUUUUUCAUAAUAUAUUAAUGGUUUUUAUAAUUUUUAAUAAUAUUUUAAUCAUUUUAUAAUUAUUAAAAAUUUUAUAAUAUUUUUCUACAAUUUUUAUAGUUUUCUAAAUUUUUUAAUCAUAUUUUAAUAAUUGAUAGAUUUUUAUAAUUUCUAAAAAUCAAUUAAGCUUUCGUAAAAUACUUAAAAAUCAAUUUGUUAUCACAGUUAGUUGUUUAUAUCUUCAAAGAGCACAUGCGACAAGGGGAUAAGUGUAGCGGAUACUCUGAUUUUGACAAAAAAAAUUAAAAAUCAAUUAACCCUAUAUGUUAACACUUUUUCAGAUCAAAUGCCACAUUUGACACCACAAUAUUAUUUUUGGAACAUUAGCCGCUAGGUUAACUGUCAAGUCUUCACUUAAUAACCCAUUAGAGACUUUGAUGGAAAACUAAAAGUCAAGGGUUCAAUUGAUUGCUAAUUUUAAGUUAAAAACUCAAUUAAUUACAGUUUUUAAUUAGGGGUUUAAUUAAUUUUUUAAUUAUUUCGCAAGGCAUUUUUAGAACUUGAGCAUUUUGUUUAUAAUAAAAGUUAUGAAAUUUGCAGUUUUUUCUCUCAAAAUGUUUUUAGAUUAAUUUUUAAAUUAUUUUUUAAUAUUAAAUAACUUAACAUUCAUGAAGAUGGAAGUUUGUAUGAAUAUUUUUAGUCAAACCUCAACACCCUUGAAUGAUGAGUUUAAACUACUUCUGCAAAAUCUAUGACGAAAUCUAAUUCUUUGGUUUGAGAUAUGAUUGAAAUAAUAUUGUAAUUUCAACAUUUAUGAGUGCGAAGGUUAAACACUUUGAUAAAAUCUUCUACAAACUAACUCAUACCUACUAUUUUCAAGGUCUGGUUAGUUUAGCUUAUAAAUAUCCACACCCAGACCCUUUUCAUAAACCCCAUAACUCUUAUGAGGUCGAGGAUUUCAAAUUGCCCCUAAUUUCAAACGAAGGAAACCUCAAUUCUUUUGAUUUCUAUUGUUUGAUUAUUUUUGAAAAAUCUAUAUUUAUUCAAAUAUUCGUUACUACAAUAUUUUUAUUUCAACUAGUAGUAUUAUAAUAUUAAAAAGUAAAAGUAAAAUAUUAUAUACAUAAAAUAACAUUAUCCACUAUUAAAAUAUUAAAAUAUUAAUUUUUAUUAUAAUAUUAUUUAUAUUGAAAUAAUUGUUAUUGAGUAUUAAUUUUCAUUAAAGUAUUCAUAUACACAAUUUUCUUAAUCAAAUAAUGAUUUGAAAAAUUGGAGACAAAUAAAAGAAUUUUUUUUGUGAAAUUGGUUUACAAUCUUUGGAUGAAUUUUUUAUUAUUCUCUUAAAUAGAGUUUCAAUCCAAGACAGGUGUUUUCUAAGUGGCUGAUAGAUUUUGUUACUUGCCAUAUUUGAAAUUGACAAUAGAUUUUAUUACUUGCCAUAUUUGAAAUUGACAAUUUUUGAAUAAAACCUUUGAGCUUUAAAUGAUUCUAAUAUUGUAGAAGUAUGCAAGCUUGUCUUUGAAAUUCAAUCCAUUUAAAGCAAUGUAUAUUGAAGAUUGGAUUGGAUUGGAUAGAAUCAAGCAAUCAAAUUCCUUGGAUUGUGGAGAUUGGAUCAGGAUAGCUUUAAAGGCAUAUAUCCAACAAUCUAAGUUACAUUUGUCUUUAUUAUUAUAUUAUACCUUGUUAUUUUAGUUGUUGGUUAAUAAGGGAAUUGAUUGUAAUUGAUAUAUAUAUGUUAGAAAGUUUUGUAACUCUUAUAUAUUUUAGAGACUUGCAUAGGUUUUAUACUGAACAUUGAGAGCAUUUAUUUGUUCAUAGUGGAAUAUAUUUUCGAGAGUGCAUUUAAGAGAGUAAACAAGUUGUGUUUACAGCUUAAGUUCUCAAGAGAAGUAAGUACAAUUUAUUAUAUAUAAUAAAACUAACUUGUUCUUUAUUUCUAUCCUAGGUCGAAAACUUUUGUUAUUUGAUAGCAACUUCCUUUCGUUAUCAUUCCCCAAGCACUAAUGCAAGGAAACUGUAAAAAUAAUGGCGGUAAAACGAUCGUAAAAAUAAGAACACACAAAUUUUAUGUGAAAAACCCUUUCUGGAAAAAACCAUGGGCAAAGGAGGAGAAAUUCACUAAUGUUGAUAAACAAAUGAUACAAGAGGAGUUUCGACUACAUCUAUUUAAGGAUUGAAAAACCCACAGAUCCCCUUAUUUUGCCACUGUAUUUAUUUCUCCAACAAGUGACGGGAUUUGGGUAGCACAAUCUCUAAUAGAAACAAAUAAUGAAAAUAACUACAAAUUUAAAUAAUAGUAAGAAUAAAUUAUUUUUUUACCUUUAAAUAUUGUUGAACAAAUGGGGGAGGGGGUGGUGCUCUAUGACGAAGAACGACAGGAUGGGAAUUGAUGGGUCAAUGAUGAUGAAUGACGGUAGGAGAGGUGUUAGUGAUGUUGAAUGUUGGCAAGGGAGAAAAGAGCAUUUUUUUCUUACGUUUUUGUGUGGAUGAUGAACGAUGACAGAAGAGUGGUCAACGAUGAUAAAAGACAAGAGGGAAGGUUUUGGCAAUGAUGAACGAUAGGUAGGGAGUGGUCACCGAUGAUGCACGGCUGUAGGGGAGGGUUCAACAAUAAUGAACGAUGGUUGGGGAGGAGUCACCGAUAAUGAAUGGUGGCAAGGGAAGGGAGGGGAUUUGAUUUUUUUUUCUUUCGAUUUUUUCAAGUUUAAGGUGAAUGACAACAGGGGAGAGCUCUUUGGUAAUGAACGAUGGUUAGGAAGGCUCACUAAUGAUGAACGACAGUUGUGGAGGGGAGGGUUCUAUUUUUUUUCUUUGUUAGGGUUUCUUUUCGCUAUAGCCUCUUUGUCUCUUGUGUAUGGUAAUUGAGUAAUAUUAGUUUCCACAAUUUUUCCCCCGUUCAUUUGUUUUAAAUCCAACUGUUGGGUUUUAGGUUUCUCUUAAUCUAAUGGCUCCUAUGUUUUGGAGCUUUUCUUAAGCUUAUAUUAGUUUUUUUAGAGGUCAUGUUAGAAUUAUUAGAUCUAAUGCCCUAAAUGUUGUAUAUUCAUUUUGUAUACUUAUAUUAUUCGAAAAAAUUAGUUUAAUAAAAAUAUUUUUUAAUUACAUUAAUAUCAUUUGUAUAUUGUCCUUGAUAUUUUUACACGCAAAGCAAAAUAAAAGUAAAUAUUGACUCACUAUUUAUCUAAUGUUUAAGUAAUAUUAAGCAGUAUUACAUGGUCAGAUCAUAAUAUGAAAAUAACUUGCAUUAGUAGAUAAACCUAAACAUGUUCUUCGCCUAAUAGGGAACGAGCUAACCAAUUAAAAGACUAAUAUGUUGUCUGUCAAGUUCAAUUGUGGAGAUGUUUUGUCUUGAGCAGAAUAGAUCCUAGAUUCGUUUAUGGAUUUAUUUACUUGUGAUUUUCAUAAUAUGACAUAUCUUAAUCCUGAGUGAAUAAUGAACUAUGUAUGUGUGACUCAUAUACUUUUACGUAAGUAAAAGCCUAAGUUUAAAUAGACAAGGAACCAAAAGCUGGUAUGUUGGGUAUACGACUUUUGUAGUAUGUAGCAUCAUUCACAAUAGUGUAAUUCAUAGCUAAACUAAUGGGUAAAUGAUAUCUUCUCAUUGAUAUUAUAGACUUCUGUAAUAUGUAGCAUCAUUCACAAUAGUGAAAUUCAUAGCUAAACUAAUGGGUAAAUGAUAAUUUCUCAUUAACAUUACAUGAUAAAUGAAAAGCAAAAAUAACCAUGAGUUGUUUAUUUUUGUGAUAAUGACUUGAUUACUAUUUGAUAUAAUUGAUUUUUCAUGAAGGAAGAUGUAAUGGUUACCAUAUUGGGAGAACAAAUUUAUCCCCAAGAGAUUAAGGAUAUCCCUAUGAGAGUAACACAUUUAUGACGAGGUCCUUAGAUGAGUACUUAUUAAGUAGUUUUCGUAAUGAUAUGUAAUUAGGGAGAGCUCAAUUAUGAUUCUAUAGUGGAAUGAUUUUGUGACUAUAUAAAUUUAUAAUUAAUAGGCGAAAAGUUGAAACUUAAAUAUAAAUUAUUUGAGCUUUAACUAUAUAUGUCUAAUUGAUCCUUUCGCUAGCUUGUUGAAAUCGAAAAUGAAUUCCAUGUAGAUACAAAUGAACAGAAAUGAUAAAGUUGGAGAAAUAAGUCACAUUCACAAAUUAAUACGUUUUCUCACUAAGUAUAAAAAUGACAUGAGAAUCAGUUUAAGGUUUUUGAAUUAUUAUUUAAAUUAAAGAAUUGAAGUUCAAAAAUGAGAUUAAAUUAAUUAGUCAUUACGAAUCCGUUGAAUAAGGAAAUUAAAUAUAUUUCCUCUUAGAUUUUUUACGGUAAAAUUGUUAUGAUUUUAACGGACUUAGAAUUAGGUUGAAAUAAAAAUUUAUUUGGAAAUUAAUAGAAUAAAUCAUAUUUAUUUUGGAAAAUAUAAAACUAGUAUUGGGUUGGAUUAAAUUAUAAUGUUUUAGUUUAAAAAUACUAAAAGCAUAUAUAAUUAAACUCAAUACAGAAGAGACUCAAAUCCCCUUAUACAAGAUGAGAGGGGUGGCAACCCUAAUAGUUUUUACUAGGGUGUGCCGUCCACCCCUACUCUAGUUGGAGUAGGAAUGUGCUUUUUGUUAAAUAAAUAUUUUUGUGCAAGUCUUAUUUAACUAGAGAUCUCCUAUAUCUCCAUAUAUAUAUGACAUUGAUAGAGCUAUUGACACGCAAGUUUCAUAUAUCAUUAUUCUGUCAGAAAGUUGUUAGAAUUUAUUUUUUAGAACAAAUUUUAUUUUAUGAGAAUUAUGAUUUUUAUUUCUAUUGAGAGGAUUAUUUUUCUAUUGAAAAUAAUAGAAUCAUUUCUUAUUUUGUGUUUGGUUCAUGUUACUCGAACCUACACUUGGCACAAUUUGAGAUAUGAGGAUAAUAGAGAAGGUCGUUCGAUUUAAAGCCGAGAACGGUUUAAACCCACCUUGCACAAUUUAAUAAAAAAUUAUUGCUAUAAAAAUUGACUAUUUAAAAUUCUUUUAAAUUUCCUUUAUUGUCCUAUAAUAAUUUCCCUUCUAUAUCGGAUAUGGGAUUCCACGUCAAGCUCACGUACAUAAAAGAACAUAUUUCAAAUAAAUAAGUUUGAAUUGUGCAUAUUUUAGGGAGAAAAUGAGAAAAAAAUAUUUCAAUAAAAAUAGUGUAAAGAGGAGAGGUUUUUUUUUUUAAAGGUACGAGAUUUGUUAAUUAGUGUUUAAAAUGAUAAUCAUUAAAUUCGUUGAAUUAAAUUUUAUUAUUUUUAAAAUUGUAUAUAGUAAAUAUAUUAUUUUAUGUAUAAUAUUAUGUUAGUUUAGUUUUUUUUAUAUAAUACAGACAAAAAAGAUAUUUUAUAAUUCAUGGAUUUAAAGACUACUAUUAAUUUAAAACUGAAAUUUUAAAAUUUGUAAAAUAUAGUAACUAAGAAAUGAAUAAAUUGAAAAAUAAAAUUAAAUCCACAACUUACGCAUGGCAUAAGAUUAAUAAUAGAAUUUGAUCUAAUGAAUAUAUUACCUAUUACUUGUUUGAGAACUAAAUUUCAAAAUUCAAAAAAUAUUAAGAUAAAAAUUGACUAAGUUAAAUUAUAAAAAUAAAUAUAUUACUGCAUAUAAUACAAAAACUAAUCUCAAUUUAAACAAUAUUAGUAGAAAUAUUUGAAAAACUUUGUUUAAGUAAUGUUAUUUAAAUUAGAUUGAAUUGACUAAUUGGAAUAAUUGAAUUGAAAAUAAGUUAAAGUAUGGGUUUGAAAAGAGUUUAGAUAAAUUAAUUUAUGAAUCACUUUAAAAUAAAUUAAAAUUAAUUGAAUUAGCAAUUAAAUUAAUUUUUUUAUUUAAAAUAAUUUUAACUUCUUAACUUCUAUUAAUUUUCAUAAUUAAAAUCAACUAAUUAAAUAAAAAUUAAGGAUUGAUUAACAAAAAUUACUGAUUUUCUAAGAUUCGUGCAUUGUAUGGCUCGAAACGUGUCCAUUUCUGCAUCGGCGUUCUUGUCUUGUUUUGCUCCUGUCCUGGCUCCCACGUGAGGGCGGCUUCACGCGCGCGUGCCUAACUUUUUAUAGGACGCAUACGCAAGGUUUAAGUGAAAUUUAAAAAAAUAUAUUUUGUGAAUCGUUUUUAUCAUAUUAUUUAUGAUUUUAUUCAAUUAAAAGAAGAUUUAAUAUUAUUUAUUUAAAAUUUAAUUCAAAUAUACAUAUAAUAUGAAAAAGAGAUAACAUAUAUUUUUUAAUUAGAAGGUACAAUAAAUAAUAUGAUAAAAAAUUUCAUAAAAAUAAUUUAUUGACGUGACGGAGGGAUAAAGCGAGUACGUGAGUUGAUGAGGAUAUGUUAGAAUGGGAAUGAUGUGGCUGAGAAAUGCUCAGAUGAGAUGGUAAUAACCCAUCAAUCAAUCAAAUCAUGCCUCGGACUUUUCUUUUUCAUUUGCUAAAAUGAAACAGUUUAAAUUUUAAAAGAUGUUUGGAUUGUUGUCUAGUCUUUGGUUCUUACAAGAUCUAUGCGUUUGAUUCGGUCGGUAAGAAAGUUUGUAUUAAAAUAUGGAGUCGAUAUCUUCCAAAAUAGAGGUAAGUCCUAGCACUAGAACUAGAGCUGAACUCAUUUGACAGAAAUAAUCAUCAUUUUCACAUAUCACAAUCCAUUAAAAAUGAAGAAGCAAUUACCUACAAUGCAAAAUUAUUUAUGCAUUUUAAUCUUUUUAUUAAAAAACAAGUAAAUUAAUUUUUAUAUAAUUUUUUAAAUUUUUAUAUAUAUAUUUUUUUAAAAUUUCAUAAAUUAUAAUUUUUAUUUACAAUUUUUUUAUUUAUUAAUAUAACAUAUAUAAUAAAAUAGUGCUGCGUCAAUAAUGAAAUAUUGACUGCCCAAUUGCUUCAAAUAAAGCAGUAGCGGUGAAGAUGAAUAAAAAUGUAUAGGUGAAUGACUAAAUUUUGUAUUAUGAUUUAUUCAUAAAGCACCAAAAUAAGCAACAUUAAUUUUUUCUCUUCCAUUUAGCAUUUAAGGGUUUAGUUUUCUCAUUUUUACAAAAAAAAAUCAAAAUACAAUUCGAACUACAUUAUUAUAACAAAUGUCGAUAAUGACAGUAGAACGAUCACAAAGUAAUAAGAAAAGAAAAUAAGAACACAUAGAUUUUACUUGAAAAACCAUUUUGGGGAAAUUCACGGGCAAAGGAAAAGAAAUUCACUAAUGUUGAAAAAAGAAUGAUACAAGAGAAGUUUUGACUACAUCUAUUUAAGGGUUGAAAAAUCCUAUUCUAAUCAAAGUAAAAUAGAAGAAGUACAGGUCUAUAUGGAUUCAACUUGUUUUGCCCCCACAAAUCCCUUUAUUUUGCCCAUAUAAUUAUUUUUUAACAAGUGACUGGAUUCGAAUUAUACAAUUUCUAACAAAUAUCAUACAUAUAUGUUAUACCUAACUACUUCACUUAAGGGAAUUCAACGUCAUUGAAACUAAUCACUUUAAUCAGAUGACUCGUUAAAAUUUUCACAUAUUUUUUAAUUAGAUUGUGGUCAUAUCACAUCAAAGUUGUUUUAAAAAUUUCUUCAAUCAUAUCUCAUGAAAUUCUUUGAGGAUAGACCAACUCACGUCUAAUUACAUUAUAAUAGUAGUGGUAACACUUCAUGACCCUACACGUUAAUAAAGUCUCAUGCCAAGCUACUUAUAUAACCCUUUUCAUCUCUAAUAAGAGGCUAGGCACUCCCUAACUAGUAAAACUCUCUCAAAUUUCUCCACCACCGUCCGACAUUCUCAAUCCUUGACUAGGAGCUUUUCACACCACCUUGGAAACUGCUAUUGAUCCCUAUUUUCAAACCACUUAUCAACACCAUCAAAUAUAAGAUAUUGGUUCUUUCUUUUUUAAAGUCAAUUUUUAUUCCACUUGACAUUAAUCAUGAAAUUAGCAACGAUGCCUUCGGUAUUGUAACACCCUUAACCUAUAUUCGUCGUCGGAACAGGGUUACAGAGCAUUACCAGAGUUUACAGAACAAAUACAAUUAAUUCAUGUCUUUUACUAUUCAUAUCCGAAACAAAUCAUAAUUCAAUCAUAUUGUCUUUUAAAUAGGUCAUCGAUGCCCUUAAUACACGUUAGAAUCAAAUCGAGACUAAACCGGAAACUCAGAAUUUUUUUUGUGAAAUUUCAAAAUUUUUCUUAGGUGUAGGGGACACAUGCCCGUGUGGCUCAUACGGCCAAGUGACACGCCUAUGUCUUAGGUCGUGUGGGCUUUUGAUGUGAGGCACACGGCCAUGUCCCAGCCCGUACUCAAAUUAGGGUAGCUACUAAAUUGGGUCACACGGCCAGCCACACGCCCGUGUGUUAGGCCGUGUGGACAAUUUAAUUUUCAAAAAUUAGGUUCAGGAUUCACACGGCUAAGACACACACCCGUGUAUUAGGCCGUGUGUUCCACACGGCUGAGACACACACCUGUGUCUCUGCCCGUAUGACUAAUUAUAAGCAUUCUGUUUCUCAAUUUUUAAUAUGCAGGGGACACACGACCAAGCCAGACGCCAAUGCACAUGCCCGUGUGUCACACACGGCUGAGACACACGCCCGUGUGUCUACCCAUGUGGACAAAAAUAGGUCAUUUUCAUGGCCACUUUUCUCACCCAAAUUGUUUUCAACCUACAUCAAUACUUACAUACAUAUACCAACCAAUUCAAGACAUUAAAACCAAGCCAAUAUUAACAUUAUAUAAGAUAUAGCAUCACAUGUAUUCAAACUUACCUUUUGUAAGACAUAUAUACUUUCUAUAAUUCAAUCUAACCAUACUAAACACAUAUAUAUUAUCCAUACUAUAACCUCAAAUAUAUGUAUAUUCACUAAACAUAUCAUCAUUAGUCAUUCCAAUGGCUAAAUUAAAAAUAACCAUUUGUAACACCCCUAACCCCAAACCGUAGUCAAAACAGGGUUACGGAGCAUUACGAAACCUAUCGGACAAUUUACAUAAAAUACCUAUGUUCAACCAAUCUAAACACAUUUAAAUAUGCUCAAAACUUGCUAAAUUUACACAUUUUAUAUAUUAUCCAAUACUCAAUUCUAAGUACUUAUCAAAUAUUAUCAAAUAAAUCAAAUUCAUACUAAAUUAGUCAAGUUCUAUUAUAUACCAUUACCAAAAUCUAAAUCUACUUAUUUCACUUUUACAUUCACCAUUCAAAAUGACACACAUAAGACACCCUAGGUAUAUGCCAUUAUCAACAAUUAACACGCUUUACCUCGUUGAAUUCGGGAUCGGCCUGGGAUGUUGAUUCGCAUUCUUACUUUAACUUAACCUGCGCACAAAAAUAAACCGUACGCUGAGUAUGGGUAUACUUAGUGGUAUUUCUAUAAUCCGAACACUUAAUAAAAUAAAAUAUAACAAAUACUUAAAAUCAGAUAACAAUCAUAACUAUUCAAUUAUUUAAUUCAUAGAUAUAUUUAUUGUAACUUAUUUUAUUCUUUUCACUUACUAACCUAUAUAGCUUUCCACGAUUUAUUCACAAGUCAUUAAACAAUUAUAAUAUUCACUUUUAUCCAAUCCAGAGCUACAUAAUUCAUUUGUCUCAAUCAUACUUCAGUUUACUGUUUAAUAUCAAUAAACUGUAUUCAACUAUUCACUUUUCAAUCAGUGUUCUAUACAUAUCCAUUUCAAUAACAGUCAUUACCAUUCAUAUCAAAUCAACUUGCUAUCCCAGAUAGCUUUCAUUAUAUAAUACGAUUCGUGUGUUUCAGCCCACAUUUCAAAUCUUCAUUCAGUACCAAUCUGAUCAUUGUUAUAUUUAAUAACCCCUAUUAACAUGACUCGGACUCAGACGGAUACACGGAUCCAACCAAACACACCAGAAUGGCACCCAGUGUCUCAUCGGCCUAGCCGAGUAAAGUGGUACCCAGUACCUCAUCAAAUCUAUCCGAAGAAAUAUAGCGACACCCAGUGUCUCAUCGACUCGAGGUCGAAGUAUCCAUGCACUCUUCCAAUCCUAUGGCAUGCCAACUAUAUCCGACCUAACUCGAUACUGUUAAUAGGGUUUCCAAUUCACUUUCCAGUUUCCAAUCAUUAUACACUUCAACAAUCACAUUUAUUCCCAAUUAAAUAUAACUCAAUUCACUUUUCAAUAACAAAUAUUCAAUUUCACAAUAGUCACUUAUUCAUAUUAAUUUCAUCACAUACUAAAUCAAUAUAUUUCAAUUAUAAAAAAAAACACAAUACAAAUAAUUCACAUCUUAAUUUUUUAUCAUAACAUUUACCCAGAAUUCAAUUAGCAUAAUUGCACAAUAUCACAUUCACACACACAUAUAUAUUUAUAAUAUAUAUAAUUCAAUUCAAUAUUGAUUCAAUAAAUUCAUAACAUACCAAAUCAACCCUCUUCCAUUAACAAACACAAUAAUUCUCACUUUAACAUUCACUAAAGGCAUUGAAUAAAAUAUAACAAUUAAUAACUAGGUUUAGAUUAUAGAAAUACAAACCGUAAUUUCCGAGUUAACUCUCGUCAACUUUGCAUUUUUCCUUUCUUAGCUAAGAUUUCCGAAACAACGCUAGCUACGAAAAUUAAUUAAAUAUUAUAAAUACACUACCAUUCAAUUUUAAUUUCUAUUCAAAUUUUGCUUAAAUUCCAAUUUAGUCCCUAAACCGAGACUAACUUUUAUUCUUCAUAUUUAACUCAAUAUUUUUAUUCAAUUUUCACUUUAGACUUAUUUCAACUCUCUAAUUUCACCAUAGGACCAUAAUUUUGAAAUUUUUUCAAUUUAGUCCCUACCGUUCAAAACUUAUGAAUUACUUUACAAUUCAAUCCUUAUUUCACUUCUAACUUGAAUUUCUAUCAAUUUAGACCUUAAUUCAUCAUUUUAUUCAUCAUGAACAAUAUCUAGAAAUCUAAAAACUUUCAAAAUAUCCUCUUAAUUUCAUCAAAACCUUAUUCCAAAGCUUCCAAAACAUCAAAAUUAAGUAAAAAAAAGGCUAAAUUAACUUACCAAUUAAACUUUCAAACCUUAAAAUCUCAAUUUUUCCUUUUCUCCCUUUCUUUCUUUUCUUUCCUUCCUUUCUCUGUUUCGUUUCAAGCUUUUCUGUUUUUCUAUUCUUUUUCUUCCUUUUAUUUGCUUUGUAUAUAUAUAAUAUAAUAACUUAUUAAAAUAUCUAUUUAAUAAUCAAUAUAUUUAUUACAAUUAUAAUAUUACUUAUAUUUACACAUGUAACAUAUCAUCAUCAUACAUUUGUCAUGUUUUAAUUUAUUUAUUAUAUAAAAAUCUUAAUUAAUAAAUAUCUUUUAUAAUUAAUAAAUAUCUAUUAAUAAUUAAAUACAUAUAUUACAAAUGUAUAUAUUUUUAUUUAUACACUUGUAUCAAAUCAUAUCCACACAUUUGUCUUUAUCUAAUUUAUUCAUCAUAUAAUAUCAAUUUAAUAAUAAUAAAUACAUUAAUAUUUAUUUAAAUAAUAAACAAAUACAUACAUGUAUUAUAAAUGUAUGUAUAAUAUUUAUUACAUUUGUACCAAAUCAUUUUUAUACACUUGUCUUUUAUUUAUUUAUUUUAUUAAUUUCAUAUAAAAAUCUAUUUAAAUAGAAAGCAAUUAAAUAAAAUAUACUACAAUGGUACAAAUAUAUGUAUUACACUUAUAUAUUUUAUUUACCAUACAUUUGUCUUUAUUUAAUAUAUUUCAUAAUAUAAUAUCAAUUUAAUAAUAACAAUAACAUUAAUAUUUACUUAAAUAAUAAGUAAAUACAUACAUAUAUUACAAAUGUAUGUAUAGUAUUUAUUACACAUGUAUUUUAUUUUUAUCACACACUUGUCACAAUUUAAUUUAUUUAUCAUAUAAAUAUCUUAUAAUAUAAUUAUAAUAACUUAAUUUAAUAUCAUAUAUUACUAAUAAAUAUAUAUAUUAUAAUUAAAAUCUAAGUAAAAGUUUUAGAUUUUUACUUUAUAUGCCGCCUCACUUAUGCUAAAUGGCAUAAUUGCCAUUUUGGUCUUUUUUAUUUUCUUUUAAUCUAUAAUUAAACUUUCACACUUUAUUCAAUUUAAUCCUUUUAUCCAAUUAUCCUUAAUUAAGCUAAAUUUACUUAAUUAAACUCUAAUUAACCACUCAAUUAACUUUGUAAAUAUUUUUGAUAAAUAUUUACUGAUCUAUUUUUCAGCAACGGAGACCCGAAAAUACACUUUUCCGAUAACCGUAAAAUUCGGGUCAUUACACCAUUUAUAUGCUAACAUUGGCCAAGUUAGCCUAUACAUGUCAUUAUACCAAAAUAAGUUUUCUAUUUAUACCAAAACGAGCUGAAGGAUAGCGUGAUGGUGCUCUGACUGAUUCUAACCUUUACGAGCUUUUGAGCACUAUAAAACAGAGAAAAGAAAACUGAGUAAGCAUUUCAAAUGCUUAGUAAGUUCAAAACUGCAUAAGAUUUCAAAUGCUUAGUAAGUUCGUAUAACAGGAAAUUAACUAACCAAUCAUAUUCAUUUAAAGUAAGCAUACCAACAUGCAUCCAAAACUAUGUGACCAAUUGCCUAGACACAUGUUCUCAUCAAACAAGUUUGUCAUGAAAUUUACAUGAUUAUCAUGAAAAUAGAGAUGAGCUCAUCAUACAUCUAUUUCCAGGUAUUUCAGGGAUUUUCAAGAUAUAAUUCAUUUAAUUCUCAUAUUUUUUCAUAUCAAAAGUUUUUUCUGUUGGAUUAUUGAAAUAUAGAUGGAUACCCAGGUAGUACAUACAGGGUGUAUAUAUCAUUGAUCUGUUAACUCUUAUAUAGGGGUACUCUUUAGAGUACAUAAUCGGGAAUCACACUCUCGAGCUUUAUCACAGGAAGCUCACAAAGAGCCGUUUCAGAAAAAUCACAAAGAGCUUAUCGGGAAGCUUAUUCGGGCUAUAUAACGGGAAGCUUAUAGGAGCCAUAAUCGGGAAGUUCACAAAGAACCAUAUCGGGAAGCUCACAAAGCGUCAUGUAACGGAAAACUUCAGAUAGCCAUAUAUCAAGAAGUUCAAGUGAGCACUAUCGAGAAGCUCACAAAGAGCUAAUUUAAUAGGAAGCUCAUGAAGAGCAUAUAAUCGGGAUGUUCAUAAGAGCUAAGGUGUGUCCACAACAAAUGUAGGAUUACAACCUAUCGGGAUACUUCGAAGUGCUGUAACGAAAAGCUCGCAAGAACCAUAUACGGGAAGCUCGAGAGGCUAAUACGGGAUGCUGUUUUGAGCUAUGGUGUGUCUGCAACAUAUGCAAGACCACAACCAAUACGGGAAACUUGUAUCCAUCGAUUUUCUUUUAUUCAAACGGAAUUUAACACUUAUCGGGUAGUAUUGGAUUUUCAAUCAAUUUCAUAAACAUGACAAUUACAAAAUUCACAUAUACAAUAUAUAAUUCAAAUAUUUAAAUGUACACAAUUUAGUUACACGAACUUACCUCGAUAAACGUUUGUAUACAAGGAUCUACUAAUCGAAUACUUUUUGUUUUCCUCGAUUUAACUCAGUAUUAAGUCUUUCUAGAUCUAUGUAAAUUAAUUUAACAUCAAUUUAAUCCAUUUCAUACUCAAUUUAAUACAAUUCACAUCCUAGGAAAAAUUACUAUUUUUCCCCUAUACUUUCUAUAAAUGACGAUUUCGUCCUUAGGCUCGGAAAAUGAAAUUUAUGCAAUUUAAUCCUUAUUCCAAGCCUCGUCGAUUUUUACAUAUAACAUUUACAGCACAUAUAUUUCAUAAAAAUUAGAAAUUUUCCAUGAAUUUUAUAUCUUUACAAUUUAGUCCCUAAAUCACAAUUUCAUGAAAACUCACUUUACAAAAGUUGUUUAUCUAUCAAUAACCUUUCAUUUUCUACCAUAAAGUUCAAAUUUUCAACAUAUUCAUCCAUGGAAAAAUUUCAAUACUUUAAUAUCUUUUCAAAUUGAUCCCCAAAAUAGAUAGAUUAUGUUAUUCCGAUUUCAAAAAUAAAAAAAAUUACUAAAAAUGGGACAUGAUUACUUACCUAAUUAAGCUUGCUUGAUUUUAUUUCUCUUUCCUAGGGUUUCUAUAGAAAAUUUGGGGAAGAUGAUGAGAUAAGAUGAUAUUAGGCUAUUAUCAUCUUUAUUUAUUCCAAAUUCCAAUUUAGUUCUUUUAUUUUUUUAAUUUUCCAUGGAUGAUUCAUAAUAAAUAUCUACUAACUCCAUUUAAUGGUCUAAUCACCAUAUAAGGAUCUCAAGUUUUGAAUUCCAUAGCUAUUUGAUACUUAUAGCUACUAGAACUCAACUUUUGCAUUUUAUGCAAUUUGGUCCUUUCUAUAAUUAAAUUUGAAAUUGGUAAAAUUUUCUUAUCAAAAUUUUUAUACGUAUUUCCUAUCAUGAUGCAGACCAUGCAAUAAUUUUAAGAUAAGUUUUCUUUCUAACUCGGAUUUGUGGUCCCGAAACCACUAUUACGAUUUCACUGAAAAAUGGCUGUUACAGGUACUUUUUCAAUGUUAAGGCUCCAUUUAUUUCAUUGAAAACUACUUUCGGAAAAUGAUUUUUGAAAAACAACUUACUUUUCUGGAGCAGCUAAUAUUUUCUAGUGUUUAGAUGAAUUUGUGUAAAAUAUUUUCUUUUGUUUGGCAAGUUCAUUAAAAAUAUUUCAUAAAAGUUAUUUUUAAUUAAACAAAUAUACAUUUGAGAUUUUCUUUCUUAUCUUUUCAUUGUUUAAGUGAGUUUAUUUUAUAUCUAUAAUUUUAUAUUUUACAUUGUUUUUACACAUAUUAAAAAUAUUUUGUUAAAUUUAGAUUCAUUACAACGUCAUUUUUUUAUUUACAUGACUAUCAAGUGAGUAUUUUUUAUUUAAAAAUGUGACAUUAAUAAAAUUGGCAAAAAAAAAAAUAUCAAUGUCAACAAUUGGACUUGAUUUUUAAAUCUGAACAGUAGAAGGACUAAAUUCUUGAAAAUAAAAGUACAGAGACUAAAUUGUAAAUUUGUGAAGAGUACAUGAACUUGUAUGACACAUUUUAACCUUUAUACUACAAAAUAUUUAUUAUUAAUAUAUUUAUAAUUAUAAUAAAUAUUUAUUAUUAAAAUAUUAAUAUUGAUAUUUUCAAUAAUAUGUGAAUAAUAUUAUUUAAAAUUAUUAUUCUUAAAAUUUAUUAUUAAAAUAAUAAAUUAUAUUAAUUAUAUUAAUAAUUUAUUAUUUGACUAAAUAUAAAUAAUUAAAUAUGUAUGGUUAAUAAUAUUGAAAAAUAUAAUAUUUUAUAUUAAUAUUUUAAAUAUUUUUAAAAAUAAAAAUAAAAUUUAUUAUCAAUAUAAUAAUAUUAAACUUGAUUUAAGUUAAUUUUUAUACAAAAAUAAAAUUAUUUACGGAGGAGCUCUUUUCCUGACUUACCAUUUUCGAGAGGGCAAGUCAUUUUAUAAGAAAAAAUGUUUAUUUUACAUUGAUCUAUAAGUCAUUUUCCGUUGACUAAACUGUUUUCUGUGAAACAAGCAUAUGAAAAUGCAUAAAAUAUUUUCCGUAAAACAUUUUACAUGUAAUCAAACGGGCUUUAAAAUUCAAAUAUAAUACAACUAAUUAAAAUUUUUAAAAAAAUUUAUGUUAACAUGUUUGAUUCACUUAAGAAUGUGGUGUUAAUUUUUUAAACUACGUUCAUUAAAUAUAUUAAAAUUUUAUUAAUUUUAGUAUUUCCAGUGAUAUUUAUUAUUAUGUAAAUGAAGAACAUGCAAAAUACAUUACAGAAAAAUGUCAAAAGUGAGUAAAUUUGCAUGAAAUAUGGCUACCCGAGCUAUUAAUGCGUGUUCUUAAUAGCACUCCUAUUUAUCCAAUGAAAGGGUAUAUGCCAAAAGUGGGAUUUUAAUAUAUUACAAUAAGCAACUAAAACUCCAACCUUUGAAAGAUUAAGAAGGGAAGAAGCAAGAGCGUUAAUGAUUUCUAAACAUUUUGUCUCUACCAUAACAUUAUUGAUGCCAUCAUCCAUAAGCUAAGAGAGUGUCUCUCGAAUCAAUAAUAUGUGGUUCCAAUAUAGCAAGUAAAUGACCUGAUAAAGCACGUAUAAAAUUGCCACGAUCAUCGCGUAAUAUAGAAGCAAAAAUUGGUGGCCUGAUUAGCCUCAAAGGUUGCGGUAUCAACAUUACAUUUCACCCGUCCUGAGAUUAGUUUAGACUAGAUAGCAGCGGUAACAUCUUGGUGAUUAGGACUGAGACUGUACGCGACCAAAAGCCACCUGUGAAACUUGCCAAUCUUGUAAGAACUGAUUUGAAAAAGAAAUAAUAUGUGACGGGGGGGCAUCAGUAGCUUUCUAACAAAAAAUUAUGAAAAUACCAGAGGCUCUAAAACAUGACUGCUGCUUGUAAAAAAAGAACAUCAUUAGCAAAUGAUAAUAAGGCAAGCAACCAAUUAUAAAGAGAUUGAUUUGAAACAACUAGCCCAGCAGCUAAACCACACUUCCUUAGCCUUUGGACAGCUGAGUGUAACAUAAUCCAAAUCUUAAAUACCACUACAUUGGGAACAGUUUAGGUUUACAUUACAACCCUUAUCAGCUAGCCGAUGGCAGCAUGGAACAAAACUUCUUACGAGUCUCCAAACAAAGUCUUCAACCUUGGGAGCUAGGCUUGAAUUCCACAGUUUCGUCCAAGGUCCUUCAAUCGCAAAGUCAUGCAGAUCGGUGUACGUACUUAGUGCAGUUAUGUAAGCAGACUUGACGCUAUCUAGGUGCAUCUCAAAAAUGGCCUUACGAAAUUCAACAAGAUGAAAAGGAGUAGUUCGAAAAGCAUUAUCCUGAUCUCGAACCAUAGCUUGCGUACCAUCCAAGGCAUCGAAAUUCAUCACAGUUUAUUGAGGGAAAAUAUUAUUAAAAUAAUCAACAACAAUGUUACCCAUACCGACCUCAUCUAAACAAGGCCGCUCCUGCGUAUCAAGCAAAUAUUGGGAUGUGAUCUGCUCUUCGUUUUAAAGCUUGACCAUGGAAAUACUUUGAUUUUGCCUCUCCGUAACUCAUCCAAAAAACUUUAGAUCUCCAUCGCCAAUACACUGCCUUUUGCGCAACAAGAUUAUUGAUCGCGUUUCUUAAAACUAUCAUUGAAGUAUCAGUAACCCCACAAAAUUGAGCCUCCUCAAUUUUUCGCUUAGCCUCUUUCAGUCGAGAUGCAAAAUUACCACCCAAAGAAAACUACCAGAUCACAAGUCAAGAACUACAUGAUUUUAGUUUGUCGAGAGCGUCAUGCGACGGGCAAGCAUGCCCCCCCUCUUGCACGACAUCAAAGAAGCCAUCGUCAGCGAGCCAAUGAUUUUUGAACUUGAAACGUCUGGGUUUUUGUGAGGGGAAAUAUGAAGCAGAUACCAACUUUAACGGGUUAUGGUCGGAGGUAUCACUCACCAAGUUAUCGAGUUUAUCAUAAGGAAAAACAUCUACCCACUGUUGAUUGAUAAAAGCACAAUCAAGCUUCUCCAUGACAAACGCAUUGGACCCCCUCUCUUUUUCCAAGUAUAGCUAAAUCCAAUAAAAGGCAACUCCAUAAGAUGGCAACCAGCUACACAUUAUCGAAAACCUUCUAUCAAAGAAACUAGGUGACACCACCAUAUUUAUCGUUUGGAGACUUAAGGUUAUUGAAGUCACUGAUGCAAACCCUUGGAAGCUCAUGUAACCAAGAAAGUGAUUAUAGAAGUGCUGAACUAGCUUGCUUCCAACUAGCUUGAGGAUGUCCUAAUAAAAAAAAAAAAGUUUAAGUACCACUUAAAUUCACCAUUUAGAAUCAAUAUCUUCUUUCAUAAUGAAAGUACCAAUUGUGAAAAAAAAAAUUUAGGCAUCAAUUUGGGAAAAAAGUUCAAGUAUCAACUUGCUUCUAAUUAAAAAGUAAUUUAGGUACUGCUCAUGACAAAGUACUAAAGUAAUUAAAAAGUAGCCGGGGGAGGGGGGCAUGGGCCCCGGCCCCCCUAAAAUGGAAAAUUUCAUUUUAGGUUGUUAAAUUUUUUUAAAAAUUUUAAAUUAGUAAAGAUAAAAUUGCACUUUGGUCCCCCCUAAAAUUAUAAAAUUCAAUUUAAUCCUUUACAAAUUAUAGAAAUAUAAACUAUAAAAAAUUAAAAUUUCAUCCGGCCCCCUAAAAAAAUUUUCUGGCUUCGCCCCUGAGAAUUAAUGAUGAGUUUUCAUCAUAAAAUAUUCCACUUAAUUAAGGGUAAAGUAUUACAGAGUUAUUUAGACAAAAGAAAUUUACUAAGGGGUAGAUUGUAGUGUGUGAGGCAUGAGGUAUAUUCGAUUUCUUAAAACAAAAUAUUCUGUUUUCUCAAAUAAAAUAAAAAUAUAGCAUAAUUUAUUACUUAUUAGUAAAGAUAAUUAGGUUUGGUUGGAAAGGAAGGGUGAAAUUGAUAUAAAGCCCAAUCCUUAGUAGAAAGCUUCGGUCCCCAGAGGCAGGCCUUUAGCUCGUUACAAUGUGGGAGAAUCAGAUCAGACACCAUAAUCAGUCCACUACAAAGUUACUUUUCCAUCCAGGUUCUUCAACUUUCUCAAACACUAAUCUCUGUAGAUCAUCUACUUCCUUUUUUUUUCUUACAAAUUUUAAAUUGAGUGAGAGGAUGAUUUUGCAUAGAUGCUCAUGCCAGUUUUUUCGUUUUUGCAACAUUAAAAUAUCAUUUCGCUACACACUCGAGUCACAAGAAGAAACAAGCAUAAACAUACAAAGAUUCACAAGACCAAGGCCGACAAUCAAUCCAUCCGGCAAGACAAAGCAAAGCAAACCAAGACAAAGCCCAAGAUCGAUACAUAGAAAAAACAAGACGAAUCAAACAUUAAGAGGCAAAAUGGGGGCCAACCCCUGAACUCUUUUAAGGCAGAAUGAUUAUACAAGUUUUCCAGGACCGUGUGGACUGCAAUCAAAGCUUGAAGUGACGUUGUUUUGCAGGAUCAGCCAUCAUUGACUCACUGAUGCUUUGACAGUGUUUUGAUAUACUCAUCCAAUAGGUGAAACACCAUGUAUAACACCGUGAAGAAAAUAAUGGAUCAAUAAAACUGGAUGUUCCUUUCCAAAUAAGAACAAUUGAGCUCAUACAUUGCUAUGGAGGACGAAGAGCCAAUGUGAAGGCAAACGACAUAACAGUGUGGGUAGAUGCUGCCUCCUAACUCAGUAACAACGAUGAAUGAUAAUUUCGGAGUUAUUUUUAAUAUAGUUUUUAUAAUAUUUUAAGAGCUAAUUUUAGCAUUUAAAUUAGUUUUUAUUGUAUUUUAUAAUUUUUUAAAUUAAUUAUAUUUUAUUUAAAUUUUGUUUGUUUUUUUUUAUUUUUAGGGUUAGUUCGGGUUUACUUGUUCUUUUUCUUUCUAUAUGGUGAAUUUCGGAUGAAGAAUAGAAGACUUAGAGCAUAGAAUAAAAAGUGGUAAAGUGAAGUCUUCUGUUCCACCAGAUUUAAUUCAGUUGCGGACUUCUAGUAGAGUAAUGAUUAAAAACCCUAAAAGCAUCGAUGAUGAGAUUUAAGAAAAAAAGAGGAAAAUGUGCAAGGAAUCACUUGGAGGCUAAAGAACAACUUCAAACUUGCAAAGAUAAUAAGAAAAAGAUAUCGAAAAAGCUUGGUAUUAAUUCCUUAACUAUUUUCUCUUUAGAUUAUUUGUUUUUACUUUUUAUUGAUGCAAGUUUAUUUUGAAUUUAUUUUGUGUUGUUUUCUCAACUUAAUAUCAACUAAACUCUUGCUUUGCAAGAAUUGCUUCAAAUUUCCAGUAUAAUCAUUUUGCUUGAUUUUAUGGUCAUGAGGCUUGGAGGGAACCCACAUGUUUGUCGACAGAUUUUUGUGACAAAUCUUUUUAUUCUUCAAUGACAACAACCACAUAAUCAAAUUUGUGUGUUAGUGACCGCAAAAAUUUUUCCAUUACUCUUACGUCAUCAAGUGUUUCUCCAUUCCUUUUCAUUUCAUUUACCAUUGUUUUCACUUGGGUGACAUAAUCAUCAACACUUUUUGAAACUUUCAUUUUCAAUGUCUCAAAUUCAGCUUUAAGAGUUUGUAAACGUACCUUUUUGGCCUUUUCGGCUCCUUGAAGUGAUUUUUGCAAAAUUCCCCAUGCUUCCUUUGACGUCUUGCAUCUAAAAUUUUUUUAAAGGUUACUUUAUCAACACCUUGAAAAAUAAAGAACAAUACUCUCUUAUCCUUUUUACGAACUACUUUCAAUAUUCUUUUUUCUUCGUUUGUCAAAGCCGCUUCAGCAGCUGCAUUUUCGGGCUCAUAUCCCUCUUCGACAACAUCCCGGCAAUCUUGAGAACCAAGCAAAACCUUCAUUUGGAUGCUCCAUUUGUCUUUGUUAAUUUCGAGACCUGCAGUUGAAUCAUGUUUGCCAUUAUGACGUCAACACGAACCUAACUCGAAUAAAAGUUGUUGGAAAUAUAAUAAACACUUAAAAUCAAAGUAAUUUUAUUACAUACAAAUAUUACACAAUACAAAUACAAACUUUUCUUUCUCUUUAUACUAGUUGUUGCUAGAUUUCUAUCUCUCACACUUUUUUUUCUCACUUUCAAGACACACAUUAAUAUACAAAAUAAAUAAAUAUAUAUAUAUAAACAUAGUAUACCGCUUUAAUGAUUAUUUAUCCUUUAAGAAUAUCAUCAAACUUCCAGUAAGCAUGUAUUGAUUAUGUUCAUCCUUUGUGAGUUGUAGGUCACUUUGCAAUCAUUUUCAAAGCCACAUUUUGUAAAGUUGCUGGCCAAUUUGAAUAGCAACUCUUGGCUUCAAUUUUCUGUAACUUUGAAAGUUGGUUUGGCUUCAACAAUUUGUACAAGUGGCUUACAGUACCGGAAUGUUAUUAUGCAUUGCUUGAAAGUCUAGAAAAAAAACUUUGGAAAACUCUUUUUCCAUGGACCAAGCGAUCGCAAUAAUAUGCUAGCUCCUUUUGCAGAUUGGUUACAAAACCUGAUACAUACUGUUCUAGUACCUGAUAUCAUUGCCAUAAAUUAUUAUAUGAUUUCUCUCACUCGCUAUGCAUCUUCUCUAAUGUCUUCUGUUUUUCCAACCAUGUCUUGUGGUAUAACACGAUGAAAUCGUACUCGCUACGGAUGUGUGCAAUCAAAAUCAACAUUAGAAUCCUAGGACUCACUCUUACCAUAGGUAAUAUAAAGUUGGAUAUCAUAUCUGAAUCCAAUUUCAGAUGAUUGUCUGACAUGCUUGUAAAAACUCAUUUAUUUUACCAUCCGUAAUACAAUGUCGAAUAAAGGUCAGAAUGGGAAUCGAGGUUGUUAAUCAUGACGCAUAUUUACAACAACACAUGUAUGUGGAGUGGUAAAUUUCUGAUUGUCCAGAACUUUGACUUCCUCCUCAUAGAUGCCAUGAUUUUCCAUAGAUAUCUUGUUCCAAGCAUUGCACACUUUGCCUCAUACUUCUCGGGUUAAGAUUUUGUAAUGUGAAAGUUUACCCCAUGCUUUAUGCUAUAUCGCUUCAUUGCAGCAAUCAAAGUGUGUUUGGAGGAAACUCCAUCCUAACCUUUAAGUUGCCAAAAUUUAUUGACGAACUCUAUCCCAACCUCCUGUAGGCACGUUUUCAUUUUUUUCUCACAAAAUGACCUAUAUUAAUAAAUAUAAAAAACCUAAUUUCUUAAAUUUUAUAAAUAAAAAAAACCGACAUAUAUCCUUAAUUUUAACAGGGCACAAGUACAUGACGUCCCCAAUAUCCUUCCUUUUCUUUAUGGUAGACUUUCACAGCAGACCGUGAGACGUAUGCAUCCGCACCAAAUGGAGUUUUCCUUACAAUAAUCACUUUGUAAAUCAUCAUACUGAUCCUUAUCGAAUUUCUCUUUAUUCUUCGUUGUAAUGGCAGGUUGUAAAUCUAACAUCCACAGCCCAAAAGUAAUUCUGAAAAGGAAAAAAAACAACUCAAAAACUAAUAAUAUCCGCUACCACCAAAGGGGACAUUCCUUUAAGACCAAGUGAUAAUCCAUCACUGACCAGGCCAACUUACUUCAUAACACGUGCCAAUUGUAAUUUUCAGCGCCAACAACCCCUGCAGUCCUUUCGCUUCAUCAUUGGUCAAAACUUAGAAGUCUGACAAAACUUGAAGUAAGAUGAUACCCACCAUUGAAAUUUGAAUCCUUACAAUUUAGAACUGAGCAGAAGCAGAACAAGAAUCGAUGCAGACCCCUUAGAUUCCUUUUUCCAGUUUCAAUACUGUUCUAAUUCUAAAAACACCCACUUUCAGGUAUCCUCCCCUCUCCUGUCUUUCACAAUCACCAAAGCCAGCUGCAACACCAUCAAAAUGCCUAAUCCAUCCUUCAAUUCUAGAAAACGCAUUUCUAUACACGCUUUACCAAUCUUUGUCAGCCUGUUUUUCUCCGCCAUUCCCCAUUCUGCCCUCAAAAUACCACCCCCUUUGCCCAUUUUACCCCUUCCUUCGGCUUCUCAGCUUCAAUGGCAACUCUCUUCCAUGGCACUCUUUCUUCACUUUGGACCCAACACCUUCACUGACUCAGAGUGGGGAACAGGCCAUGCCAGCCCCUCUGUGUUCAACCCCACCCUACUAAAUGCUUCUCAGUGGGUACAUGUAGCCAAGGAAGCUGGGUUUUCAAGGGUGAUCCUUACUGCCAAGCAUCAUGAUGGCUUCUGCUUGUGGCCAAGUGAAUACACGGAUUAUUCCGUGAAGGCGAGUCCGUGGAGAGAUGGGAAGGGCGAUGUUGUUGCUGAGUUGGCUGCGGGAGCUAAGGAAGCUGGUAUUGCUUUGGGGCUUUAUCUGUCUCCAUGGGAUAGGCAUGAAAGUUGCUAUGGGAAGACCCUGGAAUACAAUGAAUUCUAUAUCGGACAGAUGACUGAGCUGUUGACUAGGUAAUUCAUUGUUUCGUUCGCCCUUUUUGAGUUUUCUCUUGUUUGCUAUCUUUAUUUUGUUUAUAAAUUUUGAUAUGUUUUUCUCAUUUAUGUUCUUGUUGGUAUUGUUCAUUUCUGAUUUAGUACUUAGUUAAUCUUUUAUUUUAUGCAUUGGCUGUCUCUUUGGGUCUUUGGUUUUUUUUUUUUUUGAAGGAAUUUAUCCUCUGAAUUUGUUCGUUGAUUUAUGUUCAUAGGAACUGUGUUUGCUUAUGCAACUGAGUGGUUUUGUAAUUGUUGUAUUGCCUUCUCUUUGAGCUUCUUUGCUUGAACUGUAUUGAUUUUGAUAAUUUCCUGUUGAUUUAGGCACUCCAUUGAUUAUGGUAUUGUGUGACUCCUUUCUUCAUAGUUUUGUUCCAUUUAGGUUUUCUGAAUUGGGAAGUGCAGAGUGUUAAAUUUCCCUUUUCAAAUUUAAGCAGAUAUGGAGAUAUCAAGGAAGUAUGGUUGGAUGGUGCCAAAGGGGAGGGGGAAAAGGAUAUGGAGUAUUACUUCGAUGCUUGGUUUAGUCUCAUUCAUCAGCUCCAACCAGAUGCCGUCAUCUUUUCUGAUGCAGGUCCCGACACAAGGUGGAUCGGGGAUGAGGCUGGUGUUGCUGGUUCUACUUGUUGGUCUCUUUUCAAUCGAAGUAAUGCCGUAAUUGGUGGAACCAAUCCUCAGUAAGCAUCUAUUCCUACUUUUUAAUUUAGGCCUUUUUGCUCAAAAUUACCUGAUGAUUAUGCCGUUGCUUACAGCAUAUUCUCCAUGAAAUCUAUGAAGUUAGGACAUGCUUGCUUUGAACCAUCAACAAACCAUUUUCUUUUGUGCUUUUUGGAUUUGGAACCAAACUAGUACCCAUAGUGUUAUAACAUUAUUUAUGAAUUAUCUAACAGAUACUCCCAAGGAGGAGACCCUCAUGGUCAUGACUGGGUACCUGCCGAGUGUGAUGUCUCAAUCAGGCGGGGUUGGUUUUGGCAUGCAUCUCAAGUGCCAAAGUCAGCAUUGGAACUUCUUGAUAUAUACUACAAAUCAGCUGGUCGUAAUUGUCUUUUGUUGCUAAAUGUGCCCCCAAAUUCUUCCGGUCUUAUUUCAGAUGAAGAUAUACAAGCACUCCAAGAAUUCAAGGAACUUCGGAGGUCUAUAUUCUCAAAUAAUUUGGCCGAGAAAGGUCUCCUAACUGCUAGCAGUAUUCGAGGAGGCAAUGAUAAUUAUCAGUUCAGUCCAUAUAAUGUCUUUGAAGAAAGUAUUUACACCUACUGGGCUCCUGAAGAGGAUCAACGUGAUUGGGUCUUAUAUUUAGACCUUCAAGAAUCAGUAUCUUUUAACGUUUUGCAAGUUCAAGAGCCGAUUCACAUGGGACAACGCAUCAUCAAGUUCCAUCUUGAGAUCCUGAGUGGAGGUAGAUGGAAGAAUGUGAUUAGUGGCACAACAGUGGGAUACAAAAGGUUGCUGCGAUUUCCAACUGUUCAAUCUCAGUACUUGAAGCUUGUCAUUGACAUGUCUCGAGCUGAUCCUCUUAUUUCUUAUAUGGGGCUUCAUAUGGAUCGAUUUUCCAUUCUGAGCCAUGCAUCUAAUACAACCUCACAGAUAUAUGUUAAUGGUAGUCAAGUCCUUAGGCAAGUUCCAAACAAACAUUCCCAAACUGCCACAGUUUAGUACAUGUAAUUUCAAGCUGCAAUUAUUGUACUGGUGAGUGUUAAAAACUCUUUCUAAAAUUUAUUGUUACAUAACUGGGGGCAGCUUCAAAUGCCUAAUGUACAAAUAAGUUGAUAGUAUUGCAUGUGUGCGUGAUUAUUAAUUUGAUCACCCUUUAUUCUUAUAGGCAAGAUAGUCUCUUGAGCGUCGAAUCUCGACCAUUAUGAUGAACUAAAUUAUAGCUGCAAGGGUCUGUUACUACAUUUCUAGAAGGUGAAUGAAACUGUCAGACCAUCAUAGAAACAUUGUACUAGUCAUCUAGAAACAAAUCUGUUUCUGGUGCUUCAUAAUCGAGUUUUGGGAUUUUUAGCUCAUUAAGGGAUAAUUACAUUGAAAGGCUUUCCUUUUUUUGUCUUCUUAGAUAGCAAUGUGUAUAAAUAAAAGGGGAAUGAAAAAGAGUUGGAUCCAUUUGCUUAACCACUGUAUAAGACGCAAAGGGGGUACACUAUUGAUAACAAUGAAGCUUUAGAAAAUCUCAAUUUAUGUUCAGAAUGUGCAUGAGCAAAUUGUGCCACAACAAGUGGGGUUAAUUUAUUGGGGAGCAAGUCUCUCUGCUGUCUUGGAUGAUGCUAGCUUUCCCUGCAUCCAGUUCUGCAGCAUUUGUAAUGAAGCUUUUGGUUGAUCCAUUGGAACCAUGUGACCGGCAUUAUGUACCUGCAUUUUUGCAUUUUGUUUUUUGGUUUUAAAUGUGAACAAUUGAUAAGCAUAAAAAAUGGAAAAAGAAGCAUGCAGUUGCAUUGUGUUUGAACCUUAAGGAAAGCGAGAGGGCCAUGGCUUUUCAGUUGUCCAGCUUCUACACCAUCAACCAUAAAUGAAACUGUGGGAGCUGCCCCAAACUCUUUCUGUCCUGACCAUUUCAUGGCAUGAACCCAGUUUGAAUUUCCUGCCUCAAGUGAAAAAGUCACAUUAGUAUAGCAGAGUGAAUAAUCUAUAACAUUUCUUCAAAAUCUCUUUUUCAGUUAACAAAAUCAAGAAGAGUUGAAGGGUCUCACCGAGCCAGUUGCAUAUGAGAUCAUACUCUCCAGCAUAUAUAAGCACCUUUAUACCAUCCUCUAGAAGAGCAGGAAUGCCAACUUCUAAGUUCCUCAUCCAGUCUGUAAUCAUGGCAUCGUAUACUUCGGUGCUGCAUGACACAAAGUCAAUGUUACCGACCCCUAAGGCAUCCCGAACUGUUUUCUGAUUGAGGAACGUCUCCACUGCCGAGAAAUCGUAGCACAAUUCUCCUUCGCAUUCCUUUCUAAUAUCAUAGUACUGUGCAUUAAAGAUGCCAGAGUUCAGAAUCAUGAUUUCUAUUUUUGCUUCCUUCUGAAUAGAAAUCACUUUUGUAAUUAUAUAAUGAUAGAUAUUGGGCUUAUCUUACAUUUAUAUUACCAGCGAUGCUCAGAAUCUGAUCAAAUAAAGUGUUGCAGGUAUCAAAAGAAUCCACACAAGCAUCUCCACCUUUAGAGCCUGCAAUGGUAGUUCAACGUUAUCAAUAAAUCACAAAAGAAACUGUACAGAUUUUGAUUUUAAUCUUUUACAGCUGAGAGGAAGCAGUUACCACAUCUUUUGAUUGCUUGCACGCAUGAAGGGACCAACUUUUUGAUGUCGACAUAAUCAGAUUGGGUAAUUAUACUUGUGUUCAAAGCAUAAUCUGGGUAUGCUUGAUACUGGAUUUCAGGAUCUGUUAGUCCAUUCCCGAUUGCAAAACCCUGUUCGAAUAUUAGAGUUCAAUCUUAACCCGAAACAUCAAAAUGAAAAGUCCAUAUUCAAAUGGUAUAAAGGGAGAUGAAGAAAUACGUACCUUGAGAUUAACAUGAAUUCCCUCUUUUGCCUUGUUUCCCUGGUGAACUCGAACAGCGAAAGCUGGAAUGUAGUGCCCGGCAUAAGAUUCUCCGGUUAUGUAGAAGUCAUUCUCAACAUACUCAGGAUGAUGCUUGAAAAAUUCCUGAAAGUACAGAAGACAGUUAAGUCAAUUUUUGAAUGCUUCUGUUGUAUGGAAGGAAUGUUAGAACACAACAAACCUGCAAGAAGUCAUACAAAUCGUUGCUGACACCAGUUUCAUUAUGGCGAAGGUCGUUUUCGUCUGAAGUAUAACUGAAACCGGUUCCAGUGGGCUGAUCUACAAACAAAAUGUUCGAUGCCUGCCAACGGACAAUAAAAUGUGGAUGGAUAAGCAGUAAGGAAUUAAGUGUAUCAGUGAAAAUUUUGGAAUUCUAUCAGAUACCUUGUCCCAACCAUAGUCAUUCCAUACAAGCGACAAGUUUUUGGUAAGAUGGAAAGGACCAUUUUCAUAAAACAAUGCCAAUUCACUGCUGCACCCUGGACCUCCAGUCAACCAAAUCACUACAGGGUCUUUCUUGCUGUUCCGUGAUUCGAAGAAAAGGUAAAACAUCCUGCGAAAAUUACAUAAGGAGAUAAAGAAUCCACAAUCAGUAUUAUUGUCAGCAUUAAAGUAUAUUACAGCUCUGAAUCAUACCUAGAAAACUAGACAAACCACUGCAUGAUUUGGACUAGGCCUACAAAAUAAACUAGGUCUGGCACUAAGGUUUAUAUAAUAGCAUGUUCUUCAUAUAGCAGAUAAGCAUUAAAUUCUGCUUUACAUCAUCAGGGAUUUUGGAAUCUGUAUUGGCUCUUAUGUUACUUGGAAAUAUAUUCAAUAUUCACUGCACAUACAAUCUGAUUCUAAAUUUAUAUCAUUUGACAUAGCAUGUAUACAAGAUUUAGAACUCAUGGCUGACCUUGCAGAUACAGCAUGUGGAAGUUUAUAGUACCCAGCAUGGUGACCAAACUCCUGAAUGGAAGGCCCAGGUUCCCCAAGCACUGGGAACCUGAAUUGCUUUUCAACAAUCUUGGAUGUCUCAACUGCAGGGGCAUUGUCACCAGCAUUAAUAGCAUCUUUAGGGAACAAAUUAAGUCCUCUUAUGAGCUUUUCAGCCUGUAACUUUGCCUGGCUAGAACUUGGAGAUUGGUCCUUCCAAUGGGAAAUAGGCUUAGCCGAGGAAACAGAAAAAAGCACAAAAAGAGAAAGCAAACAGAGAUUUUGACAGAAAGUAGAGGCCAUUUUUGUGGGGUUUAUCUUGGUCGAUGAAUGCAAGGUCCUGUUUGAUUUGUAUAGAGUUUGAUCAUAAAGCCCCCACUUUGAAUAGAGACAAAGUCCAAAUACAAAGCAAAAAAAGAAGGAAAAAAGAAAAUUAACGGUCACCACUUGGCACCGGCUUUUCCCAUCUAACCUGCCGUGUGAAAACUACUGAUAAACAUUGAACCCUCGACUCUUUUUUCAUUAAUUUUUUUUUGAAUGCUUAAUUAUCUCCAUUAGUGAUUUAGACAGCUGCAUCAACUUUGCUUUUAAACCCAACUUUAUUAUUUAGAAAAUUAAGUGGAAAUAAAUAUCACUAUUGAAAUUUUUACACAAAUGAAUCUUGCCUCUUUUAAAACAAAAUAAAAUCUUCAACUUGAACUUAAAAGGAAUGUGAAAAUGUCUGUCUCCAUCAUCUUAUUAUUAAAUUUUCUAGAAAAUUAUAUACAAAUAAUUUACAUGACUUGCCUUGUCAUUCAAGGAUCUCCAUUGUUUUUUCAUUUAGGGUUUAUUAUAUAGCAUUCACAUCACAAUAUCUGGAUUAUUCUGUCAUUUAGAGAAAUUUAAUGAAUGAGACAGCUGGUAACAUAUUUGUUUUUGUACAAGAUUCACGUUUUGUUCUUCAAUAUAUAUAUAUAAGAAUUAUUGUUUGAUGAACCUAGUUAUAACAGGCUUUCCUUUUGUCAUUUGUUUUUUUAAUAAUCUUUUUUCCUAUUCAAGAAUAAUAAAAAGAAGGGGGGCUUUGAAGGCAAGGCUAGAAACAAGAUUAAUGUUGCGUACAAGACAUCAAAAACCCACACUCAAAACAUGACAAAACAAUAACUUGACUUCACUCAAUGUUAUAGAAAUUGAAGAAUGAAGUGAAAGGAACAUGGGAUCUUCCUAUAGACAAUACUGUGAUUUCAUCAUUUGAUGCCUGCUAACUGAAAUGCCAUUAGAUGGAUUGGUUCUGUCUACCUUUUGGAUGUCACGCCAAUGUUAGUCUAAUAGAGUAGCUUUGAGUUUCAGCCUUAUUCAUGGACUAAAGAAUUUUACGAGACUAAAUUUUAAAUUUAAUCAGAAUUUAAUAUAAUUACAUAUUAUUAAAAUAUAAAAAAAUUCACAUUUUUCAUACGCAUUUUUCAUAUGAAUAUUAACUUACUUUUUGAGUAAACUAACUUUAGGCAUUGAUAUGAUGAAUUAUUUGGUUGUAGGAAGAUUGAAACCGUCAUUAAAAUCAUCUUUUGGUCAAUAAGAGAUUUAGAAAAAUGUGAUGAAGAUGAUGAGUGUAAAUAUGGAGGGAUAUUCUUAACAUACAUCAUCAAAGAAUGUAAAAUUGAAAAUAUAACCGAAAUCAAAUCAAUAAAAUCAUUAGUAAGAGGUGCUUUUGAUUAAGAGUUAAAUUACGUUUUGUUUUUUUUACUAAAAAAAUUAACAUAUUAGUCAUUGUAUGUUAGAUAAAAAAGCAAUCUGAUCACUUUUAUUAAAAAUUCCACCCAUUAUUAUUAAUAAAAACUGGCGUAACUGACUAAAUAAGUAAAUAAUUACAUAUGAUGUGCUAUGUGUACCUGAUUUUGAGGUAUAAGGACAAUUUUAAAAAUAAAAAUAGAUGAAAUUUUUAACAGAAUGAUCAUUUGGCUCUUUGCUCUAACAAACACUACUAAUUUGCUUAUUUUUUUAUUAUAAAAAUUAAAUGUCAUCAAGUAUAAAAAUACUUAUUUUAAUACAUACACCAUUUUGCCCACUGGUCAGAGCCAAUCAUCUGUCUGGCGCAAUAAACAUUUAAUUUUCUUUUAUCUAUUUAAGAGUGAAACAUGGCCUUUUCAUUUCGAAAAAAAAUUACACUGUAAAUUAGUUUGAAUAUUGAAAUUCCUCAUUAUCGCUAUAUUUUUCAGAAUAUAAAUAAAUUUAUCACUUUACUUUUAUAUUAAACUUUAUUAAAUUUUAAAUUUUAUUAAAAUUUGUCACCAACUUUAUUUUUUAAUUUAAAACUUACCAUUUAAUUUGAUUUUGAUGGUUUAAAAGAAUGGAAAAAAAUAUUAAUAAAAUAUUUUAUUUGAAUAUUUAACAAUAAAUUAAUUUAUAAAAAAAUAAAAAUUAAUAAAUUAACUUGAGGUGUUGUUUUUGUAAUUAUGAGAUUCUCUAUUACAAAAUUUCUUUUGGGUUAGUAUAAUUAGGGGUGAUGGAACAGCCCAGUUUCUGCCUACAUAAUAUUUAAGCGACCUUCUAUUUUUGGGCCCACAAAUAACCCAAUAGUUUUGGGUUGUAUCAUUAACAUCUGAGAGUAGAUGUUCUACUUCCAAAACCGGAUAAUUCCAGGGGUGUAAAAGAUAAUUUACUAUUUUUAAAAGAUUUAAAACUUUUGACAAAUUUGUGGGCUUGUGGAUUGGAUUGGCGAUAAGGAAAAGAGAGGAUGGGAAGGAAGAAAAUUAAUAUACCAGUUAGCCGCCACCUAUCUAGCCGUUUUAAUUGCAUUCUUAAUCGUUGCCCAUUUUAUCAUAUCACUUACUUUCUUCCGGAUUCGAUCCUUGAAAUUAUCAAAUGUUUCAUUGUAUACUUACAAAUGUUAUAAUUAACAUGUCAUACUUACAGUCAAAGUCAUUUUUAAAUCUCUAUAUUUUACACUAAUUCUCUGCUUAAUGUUUGUAUAUUGACGUGUGGUCAAGUAUCAUGCGUGAGCAAUGUAAGGGAAAACUCAAUACUUGUUUUGAACAAGAUAUAUUAUAGAAAUUUCACGUGUUACGCGUACGUAAGUAAAGAAGAUCCAAUACUUGUCUUUUGACAUGUGUCCUUCCUUUUCUUUUUCUUAUUUACUUUAAUUUCUAACAUUAAUUAAUUUUUAUAUUUUUAUAAUAUUAUUAAUUAAUCUAAAUAUUUAAUAUCGUUAAUUUUUUGAUUAAAUUAUUGACGUGAUUUUUAUUUAUAAAAAUGUUAUUCUAACAAAGAAAGUUAUAUUUCCACAUAGUUAGAUUAUGCAUUCUAAAAAUUUCCAUAUCAACUAUUGAAAUUAUUUAUGGUGAUAAUUAUUUGGACUAACUAAUGAAAUUAUAAUAAUAGAGGGAGCAAAAUAGAUAAAAUAAAAAUACACAAAUAAUAAGACAAACAAAUAAUAUAAUAAUUAGAAAUUAUAUACAUGUAAUAAUUUUAAUAAUUUUAUAUUUUAAAAAAAUAAUAUAAUAAUUAUAUAUUUUAAAAAAUAAUUUUAAUAAUUUUAAAAUCAUUUGCUGACGUGACAUAUAAGAAAAUAGUAUCACAUCAACAUUUAAUUAUAUUUGGACCGCCACAUCAACGAUUAAUGCUGACCGUUAGUCAACUAACAGCCACACCAACAUAUCUGUUAAAAAUAGACCAAUUUGACAAAAAAAAAAAGGUUAAAAGUUAAAGUGUUUAAAAAAAAACAUAAAGAGCCAAAGUACCAAACAGUCAAACGGUAAGGGCUAUCUCUAACAUUAUGCCAAUUAAUUAUAAAGAUAAUAAAAAAAUUAAGGAAAUGUAAUGGUAAUAUAAAAUUUUGAGAUAACUAAAUAAUCUUGACUUAUAUAGUGUUAUGGUUAAAAUUUAUCAGAUACCCCGUUUAAUAUAGAUUCAAGUCGUGUCAUCCUUAAUUUCCACUCCUAAUAUUUUAUAAAAAAAUAAAAAAAAAUGAAAAACACAGUCACUUACAUAACAAUUAAUUAAAACUUAAAAUAAUACAAUCAAUAAAAUAAUAAAAUAAUUGUUUUGGGUUUGGAUAACUGAUUAAAGGUUUUCGUUUAUGGGUGAGCGUAGGCUACCACGGACAGGACAUUUUUGUCACCUUCUUCAUCGUAUUGUAGGCUAAUAAAGGCAUCACAAUGGUAUUCGUGUCCACAAAAUUAUUAGAUAAACUAAACCAAAUUAGUAUUUGAAAUUGGCUUCCAUCCACAAUUAAAGUUUCAUUAAUUUAGUGAAGUAUAGGGUUACACUUUCAUGUUGAUUUUGAAUGAUGUAAAGACCUUACUAAACUAUUCAUUCUUGGAACAUUAGGAUACUCUUUCAUAUGGAAAAAAAUCAGUAUCAAUAUUCUAUUAUCUGGUUAUUAAUCACUUUUCUCAAAUUUAAAACUACUGUUUUAUAGGCCAAAUUAAUACUUUGUUUUAUACCCAUACUACCUAUGACUUCUUUAAUAUUAAACCUAAGAAUAGUACAAUUACUCGAGGUUGCCUCUUAACUCACAAGUAGUUAAGCAACUUUGAAUGCCGACAACUUUUCACCCCUAUGCCUCCUCAAAUUCAACGUGUUUGAGAGCUUUUUUCGAGAUUGAAAUAAUUUGUAAUUAAAUUUUGAUUGUUUGUUUAUUAAUUAUAACAUCAUUUAGUUAUGAAGUCAUUUCACUAAAGUAUCAUGAUUGUACUAUCUCAUAUUAUAUAUUAUUACGAAAGCCACUUAAUAAGUUCUCGUCCAAUGACCUUGUCAUGAAUGUGUUACCCUCACAAUGUAUUCUUAAUCUCUUUUGGUUAAAUUCGUUUUUCCAAUAUAAUCUUAUUUUAUCUCAUGAUAAUCAUUACAUCUUUCUUCAUAAAAAGUCCAUUGUUAUCAAAUAAUAAUUAAAUCAUAUAUCACUAAGACAAAUGACCCGUGGUCACGUUACUAUUCAUCUAUCAUGUAAUGUUGAUAAGAUGAUAUCAUUUAUCAUUUAUUGGGGUAUGAAUUCUACUGUUGUGGAAUGAUGCAACAUCAUGCAGAAGUCGUAUACCCAACGUAUCAACUUUUAGUUCCUUAUCUAUUUGAACUCAAGCUUUCAUUUAUAUCAAAAUAUACGAGUCACACAUAUAUAGUUCAUCAUCCACUCAAGAUUAAUGUGUGUCACACUAUGAAUGCCACAAGUGAAUAAAUCCGUACACAGAUCUAGAAUUUAUUUUACUUAGGUUCUGCCUGAUAUACUGGCUGUCCAGUCAAUCUCAUCUAUAUCUCUAUCUUCUGAGAAUCAUUCACUUCGAUACCUGAGACAAAGUAUCUCACUAAUUAGAUUUGAUAGACAACAUAUUAGUUUUUCAAUCGAUUUGUUCAAUUUUGAUUAGACUAAGGAUGUGUUUAAAUUAUCUAUUAAUAUAAGUUAUCUUAUCGUAUUAUAAUUCGACCAUAUAAUAUCGCUUAGUAUUAAUUAAACGUUAGACAAUCAGUGAACCAAUAUUUGCUUUCAUUUUUCUUUGCGUGCAAAAAUCAUUAAAGACAAUAUAUAAAGAUAUUAAUGAUAUUUGUAAUGGGCCAAAAUUGCCCUGACCCAUCAGAAACCAAAAUAAAAAAUAAAAAAUAAUAACAGUCCAUUAUUUUACAAGGUCCAAAUAAAAUACAGACCCAAACUAAAAAAUCUAGCCCAAAAAAUAGCCCAAAACCUAAAACAAUAAAGAACAAACCUAAUGCGCUAAGGCGCCGCAGCCUCCAUGUGCGCCCUCAGCGCGCACAUCACCUGAGGGUCAGCUCCCUUGGCCCUGCUUGCACCAAAAUGGCCACCUGCUUUAUCCGUUGACUGAGCAAACCUACAGAAAGGAGAAGAUAGAGCAGAAAGAAAAGUAGAAACAGAGUUAAUAUACAGUAACGAAACAGUAGCAAAAAAUUCAAAAAAAUAUUGUAUGGUUCGGCUAUAGAGCCACUACUAACACAAUGUAAUUUUUUUACAGUCGAAUAUCAAUAAAAAAAUAGAAGCAAAAUUCUAAAGGUGAUUUUUUAGCCUUAUUCUUCUAAGAUUUUUUUUAAAUAUAAAAAUAAAUAAAAAAAAGGAAAACUUACCAGAGACGAUUCGUCUCCAUCCAUGAUCGGAGUUUCUCUCCGACAUCGAAAGCCUAGAACCCUUAGGGUUCGGUUUGGGGUUCGACGGUAUGCGGUUCUUCUAAAGAAAUCGAGCUUCUAGGGCCUUUUUUAUUUUUAUUUUAUUUUUUUUGAAAUAGAAGGUGAACCCUUCGAGAAGGUUUGAAAACAGGAUUUUUGGGCUCUUUGGUCGCUGUGUACGGCGGUGUCGUCAUCGGCGACCAACGGCCGUCACGGUGGCCGACGGCCGGCUCUUAUGGCCGGAGGGAGAGAGGGAAGAGAGAAAAGAAAUAGCUUUUUUUUUUAUAGAUUGUGGCUGAAAUGAAUUUUGAAGGUUUUUUUUUUGAAUUUAUACUGCCCCAAUACGACAUCGUUUAGUGCAGGCUCCUAAAGCCCUAAAACGACGUCGUUUUACCCCUCAGGAUCCGCAUGUUGACCCGACCCGCUAAAAGGAUCAGCUCGUUUUGGGGCGAAUGGGCUAUUUUCUACCUUAGUCCUUCCGUAUUUUUAUAUUUUUCAAUCUAGCCCUGCCUAUGUUUUAUGUAUUUAUAAUUUUUCCACAUAAUUUUACUCUCUUUUCAUUUCAGCCCCUUAUGAAAUGGUGCGUUUUGGAGGGCGAGAAUAUUUUCCCAUUUUGUCCCCCCAUGUUAUUCACGCCUUUCAAUGCGAUCCCCCAUUUUAUUUUAUUCCGAUUUAUGCCCUUAAAUUCCAUUUAAGUUUCAAUCUAGCCCCUUUUAUGUUUAUUCAUUUAUUUUAUUGUAAUUUAGACUCUAAAUUUUAUUUAAAUCUCAAUUUAAUCUUUUAUUCACUUAGCUUUAUUUUAUAUAUGCAUCUUGAUCUGUUUUAUUUGAUUUAUUUAUUGUUACAUUCAUUCAUUCAUUUAAUUUUUACUUUUCUUGUACUUAGAAUUUGUAUGAUUCUUUAUUCCUUUAUUUGCACAUUUUAUUAUUAUUAUUAUUAUUUCAUUUGUUUUAUUUUACUUUCAAUUGUUAACUAAACUUUUUAGUUUUAUUUGUUUUCUCUACUUAUUAUCCUUUUUAUUUUAGGUUUGUUUUAUUUUUAUUAUUAUUGUUAUUUCAUUAUUUAUUUAUUUACUUAUGUAUAUAUAUUUUUAUAUAUACUUUCAAAAAAUUUAUAUUAUUAUUAUUAUUAUUAUUUUGUUUUAUUUAAUAUUUUUAUUUUCUUUUUUAUUUUACAAUUAGCUUGCUUUUCAUUUAUUCAUUUUACUUACGGGAUAUGAGUUCUUUCUAAAACCGAGAUAAUCAAAUAUUUUUCAAAAUUAAUAAAUUUUUAGCGUUUAUUCUUAUUUCGAGGAUUUAAGGCAUUGUGUCCUAAUUUAUGGGACGUAAUCAUUUUCCUCGGUUAACGUAAAAUAUACCUCUUUUUGUAAAAAUUCAAUUAAACAAUGUUUAACAAAAUGAUCGUGUUUUUAAAAAUUUUCUCAAAUUUUUAACUUUCGACACUAAAAACACCAAGUAAUCAACUAGGUACUAAUUUUGGGCGUAUCCAGGAUGCUAAUCCUUUCUCGUGUGUAAUCGACUCUCGAACCCGUUUUCUGGAUUUUGUAGACCAAAAAUCAUCGUUUUAAUAAAUAUUAAACUUCUGUUAAAACGAUUGAAUUACCAGGUGAUCCGAUCACACCUAAAUAAAAUAAUUGGUGGCGACUCCCUUUUUCAUUUUCAAAAUCAAGUCGACCCCUUUUUUUUCAAAAAUAGUUUCAACAAUAUUGAUGAAUAUUUUAUUAAAUCAAUUUGUUCAAAAAAAAUUAUAAGUACAUAUAGACGAAACCACUACACUAAGGGCACUAGAUCUCAAUAGUCUCCUACUUGCCUUAGUGAUGUAACACCCCCUAUCCGUAUCAGUCGCUGGAAUAAAGUACGAGGCGUUACCGGAGUUUACAGAACCAUUUUUCAUUAAACGAGUCAUUUUACUAUUCAUAUAUAUAUAGACAUAUUCAUAAAUUUUUAUAGCAUUCUUAACCAUCAUCUUCAUCCCUAUACUUAUACCAUCUCAUCAUUUGUUCAUUUUAAACCCAUAUCAAACAUGAUAAAAUCAUAAUUAUAUGUAACUCAAAACUUACUAAAUACAAGCCAUACCAAUGGCUAGUUACAGUUAGAUCAUUUAUAAGCCAACAUUGACUAAUUAACCUAUACAUGCCAUUAUAACCAUAAUUCAUUUACCAUACAUACCAAAAUAGGCCGAUGGAUAGUGUGAGUGAUCUCCGACGAGCUUUCGAAAACUCACUCAUUUAAAUUUAAUAUAAACAUACAAGGCAUAUUCAAUCAUCUUGAUCACAAGCCCUAACACAUAACCUCAUCACCCUUGUUAGUCGUACACUUCAUAUAAAUACCAAGAAACAUGUAUGGGCUCAAUUCUCAUUAAAUUUCUCAUAUAUAUAGAUAAUUUCACAUUAUGUAAUAAUAUAACAUAUAGCAACCAUAUCUUUGUAUUUUAAAUACAUUUUCAUAACAACUUGUUUUGAUUUCAUACUAUUUUAUAUUUGAGCUUUACUCAUCAAAGUAUUUGAAAUAUCAUUUUUAUGCAAAUAGUACACACGAGGCACAUAAUUCCAUAAUUACGAAUGAACAUAUUUAUCAAACAUAUUCCAUGUUCAUAUAUCAUAGUCUCAGGUCUCCAUAUAUCAAUAAUCAUUAUUUUCUUGUAUUUCAGAUAAAUACUUAUAACCAUACAUAAGUAUGCAAUUCGCUAUUUCUUCCUCUCAAUCACAAUUUCAAAAGACAAAUUCUUGUGAAUACGCUCACCAAUUUCAUAAUUCCAUGUAUUUACCGUUUUCCAUAUUUAUCCCAUAAAAUUCCUUGAAAUUUUGAUGGAUUUCUUGUAGUACACUCAUGGUGUACAAUCUCAUUAACCGUCAAUUCGUACACAUAUAUACAUAAGUCCUUUUCAGAGAGCACACUCUCGCAAACCCUAUUUCUUACAGCAGAAUUAGCAGUCCAGCUAAAUCCCCUGUAAGAGAGCACACUCUCGCGAACCUCAUUUCUUACAGCGGGAUUAUUAGUCCAAGCUAAAUCCCAUGUAAUGACAAAUACUCUAUAGAGCUUUGUCUAGAUUACCAGUCCAAGCUAAAUCCAGACUCACAUUUACUUUGGAUUACCCGUCCGGGAUAAAUCCAUUUCGCACAUAUUUUUUGGGAGGGCUUAUAUUAGGAUCACCCGUCCGGGCUAGAUCUUUUUCACACAUAUUCUUUAGGAAGGCUUAUAUCAGGAUCACUCGUUCGAGCUAGAUCCUUUUUACUGUCAAAUCCUUUUCAGUAAUCCAUCGAAUUCCAUUCCAUUCAACCGAGAUUUAUUUCCCUUUUUAUUGAAUAUUAUUAGCAUUUCAUCAAUAAUCAUAUAUUGAGCAUUCAAAUCACAUUUUCAUCACAUAAACAUACAUUUCAAACAUUUAAGAAUACAAUUCAAGUUACACAAACUUACAAUUUGAUUUUUAUACCAUAACGAUAAUUUUAAUUUCAUAAUAAAUAUUUGAAAUAAAACAUUAUAUCAUUUCUAAUUCAACGUUUAUCUAUUAUUAUCGGGCAUGUGAUCAAUUUAUGUACAAGUCAUUCAUAUAUUUUCCUCCUCCUCCUCUCCAUUCCACAUCCUUAAUGUAUAUAUCACGCUUAUAAGUAACAUUAUCUACAAUUUCACUAUUUACUUAUAUGUAUAUUAAAAGCUGUCUGUCCAUGUCAUAGUCACUAAAUUAUUUUCAUCUUGAGCUACAGAACUCCAAAUUAAGAUCCACUUGAUGUUUUUGAAACUGGAUUCAUAUAUCCUUCUACCACAAAAAUUUCAGAAUUUAUAGUUUAGCCAAUUAGUAUAGCAAAAUCUUCAAAUUUAUCCAUGUUCUGUUGUUUGACAACAUUGACCUUUGUUUACUAAAAAUUAAUUAUCUCUUAACACAGAAUUUGGAUGAUAUUCUCGUUUAUUUCUAUUGAAAAUAGACUCAUUAAAAAUAUAAACAUAUAAAUUUAAUCCCCUAAUUAUUUCUCUCCAAUUUUUGAUGAUUUUCCAAAGUCAGAACAGGAAAACCCAAAAUCAUUCUGACAUUGUCUCACAAAAUUUAUUAUAUCUCAUGAUUUACAAUUCUAUUUACUUACACAGUUUCUUCUAUGAGAAACUAGACUCAAUAAGCUUUAAUUUCAUAUUUUAUUCAUCCUCUAAUUUAAUUCUCACAAUUUUUGGUGAUUUUUCAAAGUUAGACUACUACUGCUGUCUAGAACUGUUUUAGUGCAAAAUGUUGAUUACUAUUUUUCCCCUAAACUUUUAAUACAUGACGAUUUCGUCCCUAGGCUUGGAAAAUGAAAUUCUUGCAAUUUAAUACUUAUUCCAAGCCUAAUUAUUCUCAUACAUACCAAUCACAGCCCAUGAAUUUCAUGAAAUUUCAGAAUUUUUCAUAAAUUCAACACUUUUCAAUUUAACCCCUAAAACAUAUUUUCAUCCAAAAUUCUUUAAUAAAACACCUUUAAACAUCCAUUAACAUCUCAAUUUCAUCAUAAAAUAACAAAAAUCAUAUGAAAUUAUCAAUGGUAACUUCUAAAAGUUUCAAAAAAAUCAAAAACUAAUAGAAUACUAAGUUGGACCUAAUUGUAAAAGUCCAAGAAUAUAAAAAUUUCAAGGAAAAAGCAAGAAUUGAACUUGCUUGAAGCUAAAAUAUGAAAGACCAGCUCAAAAACCUCUUCCAUGGCUGUUUUUGGCAGAAAGUUGAAGAAGAAAUGGUCUAGAAAUCAUUAAAAUCAACUUUGGCCAUGUAACUUUUGUUAAAAUUCCAAUUUUGUCCUUUUCACAUAAAAAUCUUUGAUUUUUUUCAUGCUAUGCCGCCUCAGCCAUUUUAAAAUGGUCCAUUUUCGCUUUUAGUCCUUCCUUAUUUAAUGUUUAAGCUAUUUAAUCACUUUAGCAAGUUUUACACCUUUUCAAUUUAGUCCUUUUUAUCUAAUUCACAACCGAAACGUUAAAAUUUUUUGACAAAAUUUUAAUACUACCUUAUUAACACUCCGUAAAUAUUCAUAAAAAUAUUUAUGGCUUGGUUUAUAACACCGGGAUCUCAAUACCUCUUUUUCUCAAUUUCUUAACUAAAUAAAUCUUUGUAAAACACAGUUUACUAUUUCAAAAAUAUUUUAAAAGCCACAUUUGGCUCGUAAAUAUUAAAUAAUAUAAAUUACGAGUUCAUUUGCUUGAUUUGGUGGUCUCGAACCACUAUUUCCUACAUCACUGAAAUUUGUGCUAUUACAAGUGAAGUCAAUGAGUCGUAUUUCUCAUUUUCAUACCCUCUAUAUGUUUCUCAAAAUUACUGCCUUCCUAUCCCAAGGUUGUCCUCUAAUGCGACUUUAACUAUAUCCAUGAUAUCCCAUAAGUUACUACCUCCCUUAUGAUAUGAUAUUUUCUAUUAACGUAUUUUAUCCUCUUAUGGUUUCUAGUUUCUUUAGUGUUAGCUAUUGUUGCACUAUAAUCAUUAAGGGUGAACAAAACUCAAUUUAAUUCAAAAAAAUUAAAAAAAUUAAAUUUUGAAUUAACUGAAUCGAGUUAUUUGAUUUUUUCGAGUCAACUCGAAUAAGUAAUUCAAAUUUCAAGUUCGAGUCAAAUUGAAUUUUAUAGUUUGAAUAAUUCGAAUAACAGAUUGGUGUAAAUACUCCUUUCUUCCUUAUCAAUUUUAAAAAUGAAUAAAUUGGUCUCUCUCAACAAAAAUUACAAAAAAAAUCAAAAUAUUUUUCAAAAGUUUAAAAUAUUUAUAAAAAUUUCAAAAUUUUAAAAAAAAAUUUAAAAAUUCUAAAGAAUAUAUAAAAAAGUUAAAAUUUUAAAAUUUUUCUAAAAUAAUAAUUUUUGUAAGCUAAAUAAGUUAAUUAAUGAUUCAAUUUUAUUAUACUAAAGUAUAUUUUCUUCUUCUUAUUUUGCUUUGAAAAGAAUUUCAAAUAUAUAUGGUUUCAAAUUUAUGUGCUUUAACAUGGACUUAGUUAUAUUGCAGCAAGAUUUUAAUUUGACAUAUUUAAUUUUUUAAUUUAACUCGAUUUGAAAUUUUUUGAAUCAAAUUAGAAUGAUAAAAUAGGACUCGCCAACUCGAUUAACUCGAAAUUCUUUCACUUGAUUCAACUCGAUUCAAUCGAAUGUUCACCCCUAAUUUUCAUAAUACAAUGUGAUAGUUUUUUUCAUAUUAGGAACGACUUUUAAGAUCCGUAAGGAACUCCUGAAGCUAUAUAUCUCUUCUUUUGUUGCCUCAGAAGUUGUCACAUAUUCGAUCUCCAUAGUAGAGUCAACAAUGCAGCUCUACUUGACACUUCUCCACACUAUGGACUCAUUGCCUAGGACAAAGACACAGUUCAAUGUUAAUUUUCUCGAAUUCCAACAUAUUUGAAAGUCAAAAUCUAUAUAACUAAUAAGAGUAAGAUUUCCCAUGGAGUAUCAAGCUUAUAAUCCAUCGUUCUACAUAAAUACUUGAGUAUAUAGUUAAAUAGUUGGAAGUGUGUAGGAUUGGGAUUCGUUUGAUAUCGACUCACCAAUACUAUUACGAAACAGAUAUUUGAACGCGUGCACAACAUAGUAUACAUGAGACAUCCUACUGUCGAAGCAUAAGGAACAUUUCUCAUAUAUUCUCUUUUUUUCAUUAUUUUAAGACAAUGCUCUAAAAAAAUACGAAAGCCCGGUACAGAAGUUGUGUUACCUUCUUUGAUUUGGUCAUUGUAAAACGAUCCAAUAUUUUAUCUAUGUUUAAAUUUGUAAUAAAAUUAUCACUUUAUUUUUUUUGAUCCUUUAAAAUUCUAAUACCUAAAACAUAAUUAAUUUCUUUCAAAUUUUUCCUAAACUGAUGUGUUAACUACAGUUUAAUGGAAAACAAUAUCCCUACAUUAUUCCCAAUCGACAUAUAAAACGAAAAAAUAGUCUUUCCUUUCUUAUUAUAAAUACAAAAUUCAUCUCAAAUCCAAAUGCUUUUAUCCAAAAAAAGCUUUCAUUACCGUUUCAUCUUUUACUUCUCAAAGUGAACUAACCGAAAUAGCAAGUUUGAUACCAUAAAAGCAGUGAAACUAUAUAUAUAUAUGUCAAUUGUCACAUCAACCAUCUUUCCUCACAUUCAAGGUUUUGUCCGCAUGCACAGCUACCCCCAUCAACCAAAAUUUCACCGUAUAUAUGGUGGGCCUUCAAUCUCCUUAUUUAUACCAAGUGUAUUGCCACACUCUUCCAUGCACAAACCAGUUUUCAUAACCUUCUUCAAUAUUUGGUCCCAAUAUGCAUUUAAUCAUUUAGUCGUUUUGUUUCUCUACUGAUUGUCUGUUCUUCUUUGCCUUCUCUUUUCUGUCUCCCGUUUAUGGCUCCGAUUUUCUCUCUGUUUCUUUCUUUCGUCAUGCUUUCAUGGAGCAUUGCUCAGGGACAGGGUCCACCUUCCCCAGGAUACUCCCCCUCCACCAGUGUUCGUACUUUGAAAUUUGAUCAAGUUUUUAGAAAUCUAUGGGGUCCUCAGCAUCAGAGAGCCGAUCAGGAUUCAAUAACUAUCUGGCUUGAUAAAACCUCAGGUUCUUUCCCAUUGUUUUUUCUUUUCCAUGAUGUUUCUUCUCAUAGACCUUCCUUGAGAUGAUCACUUUGCUUUCAUGGUGAAAACAGGAAGUGGUUUCAAGUCAAUUCAGCCAUACCAAUCUGGUUACUUUGGUGCUGCCAUGAAACUCCAACCUGGUUAUACAGCAGGAGUCAUUACAUCUUUCUACGUAAGAUUAAUUUUUAGUUUACAUACACAAAGUUAAAAAUAAAAAUACCACUGAAUUUGACGCAAAUUCUGACAGCUUUCAAACAACGAAGAUCACCCUGGAAACCAUGAUGAAAUUGAUAUUGAGUUCCUUGGAACAACACCAGAUGAGCUCUACACUUUGCAGACUAAUGUGUAUAUUAAAGGAAGUGGCGAUGGAAAUCUAAUUGGAAGGGAAAUGAAAUUUCAUCUAUGGUUUGAUCCUACGCAAGACUUCCAUAACUAUGCUGCACUGUGGACCCCUAGUGAGAUUAUGUAAGUAAUAUUUAAAUCGUUAACUUCAGCUUUCUUCGCUUUAAUCAUGCUUGACUACAUCCUUUUCAUGCAUGCAUACUUUACUUUCCAUGCUUUGGGGUCGAAUAAUUCAACUAAUUAUUCCGUUUCUGGUUUUUUCUUACUGAUAAUAACGGUUUAUAUAUAUAUAUAUAUUUAUGUUGUAAAUAUAAGAGUUUACAAUCAAUUCGUUACUCAUUUUCUUUCUCAAUUAUUAAAAAGAAAAAAAUUAUAGUGGUGUGGUCGUGGGUCAAAUCAUGUUAAUUGUGAGAAGACAUAAAAAUUAAAAUACAUAAUAAAUAAAUUUUAAAGGUUAUAUUAAUAACUAUUUUUUUUUAUAAAAAGUAUUCUUUUAAUCAUUACCCCCAUUCUUUCUAUUUUACUCUUUUAGAAUGUAAUUUAUAAGUUAUUGGGAAUUUUUUAUUUUAUUUAAUUGAAAAUGAAAAUAUUUAAUAUUUUAAAUAUGUUUCAUAUUCAUUUUAAUUUUUUUACUAUAAAAAUUUUAACGAAAAAAUAUUGGAUAAAAUAUAUAGGUAGGUAGCUACUUAUAACGUAAAGUAACGAGUAUUACGUUAAAUUUUAUUUUAUUAAAAUAUUAAAAUAAAUUGUUUUUAAAAAAAUGAGGUAUUCAAAUUAACAUAUUUAUUUUUAUCUAAAAUUAUAUAAAAUAUUAAUAAUUAAUUAAUCUUUUAAAAUUAAUAUUUAUUUUUAUCAAACAACUUAAUUAUAUUCUGUACUUAUAUGUACUAAUUUAUCAAACAACUUUCUAAUAUCAAUUCAACACUUAUAAAAUUUAGUGGCAAUUAUAGUGAGAACUUUUAAAAUGAGAACCAAAAUAAUCCUAGACAUUAGAUCAAAAUAAAUGGCUUUAAGCUUUAGAUUUUAUAUUUACCUUACCUUAUUAAAAUAAAACUAAUACACUCUAUAUUUUUCUUCUAUUUUUCUUUGCAAUAAUUGAAGUCUUAGGGUGAAAAAAA